UUUUUUUUUUUUUUUUGUGUGAACCAAAAGUAGUGAAAGAAAUCAAUGUGUGUGCCUCUAUAAAAAAUAUGCAAAGAAAUUUAUACCUGCAUUAGUAACCGAGUACUGAGAGUUUGAAGAGAAAACUGAGAUGGGUAAUCUUACUUUCAUCAAUGGAGGCUGACUCUCCUGAGCACGUGAUGGAUUUGCAAGAAAAAUGAGCGGUGAUAGCUCGUGGCAACUCAGUGCAGUGAAACUGGUGCAAAAUCAAGUACAUGUAUAAGUUAGAAUGAACUUUCUUGUUUUUAAUUUCAAUAAAAUAUCCCUCGUAUCGUCAAAGUUUCUACCUUGUCGGGUAUGGCAGUAGAGACCCAGCAGCUCAAUGAGAGUGAUGAUGAGAUUGCCAUGCUUGAAUAUUUGUCAGAACUCAGAAGUGGCUUUUGGUAAAUAGGCACUGAGAUUACAAGUAAAGAGUGGAUGGUGGAGACUCAAAGCGUGGAGUUUGGCUUCUUGAUUGGGGUUGAGUGGGGCCGGAGAGUCUUUCAGGUGAGAGGCACGUGACUGAAAAGGGAUAAGAAAUUUUCUCAAAUUCAAUUUAGCCAGCACUAUACACCAUUUUUCUUUCUACUACACAACUCUAUUUUAUCUUGUCUUACUUUCAGUUUGAUUUAUUUAUAUAUCAAAAACAGCUUUUUAAAAAAGUUGCGGUCUUAAUCGUGUUUGGUGAAUGAAAAAGAAAAAUGUUUUUUUUUUUUAAAUCGUGAGUCCAAAAUGCAGAAAGUAGAAGCAUAUUUACACAUGCUUCUUAAACAAGUUUUUUUUUUUCUUUGGAAGUUGGUGAACGAUAUCAAUUCAUGAAACUUUGAUAUUGACAAUCCUACCCCUAUCUUUUUUUCGCUAAAAGUACUUUUAGCACGACAAUUUACCAAACACUUACCUGCUUUUUUCCCGGCUAUUUAUUCUCAUAACAUAGCAUAAGCAAUUUUGAUAAAAAAAAAAGCACAGAACUCCAAACUAGCCCUAAAAAUGGCUUUGAAAAUCAGCUUUUCUUUUUCAAAUUUGCCCUCAUCAAUCUUUAUUUUAUUUUAUUACAAAAAUAAAAAUGGGCCAGUGAGCCCAGCCCAUAUUUUAGCUGGAUCAGCCCAAUUAGCCAUGGGUGCCUAGGUUGCUAGCCCAUGAUACGAAUCUUUACUAAUUCUAAUGGGAAAUCUGAUACAACUUGCAAGUUACAAGUACAAACGAGGAUAAAAGAGGAAACCUGCUCCUACUGGGAAAGGGAAACCCUAAUACUGAUAGACUAAUAGGAAUUGUCCCUUGCGAGCCAAGAAACUGCAAGCUAUAUAUACUAGGACAUGCUAAUAUUCAUAUUGCACUAUCCUAACCGAGUCGAGCACUCUAGAAGUUUUCGUAUCAGCUGCAGCAAGUUAAUAUGGAGUUGGUCAGCGGAGGAAAUUCCCACGGGAGGCGGCCACCGGCAAGAAGAAUCGAUGAAUCAUCGACAGAGUGGACGCUGGAGCACCACAAGCUAUUCGUUGAUGCUGCGGUCGGGCUGGGAUUGAACGAUUUCAAAAACGAUGCAACACCGGCGGCAACAAGAACUCUGAUCGUGGAGCUCAUGAGCAAGAACAACACCCGGGACACAAAGAAGAUACGUUUUUUGCGCCCGGUUCUCAUCCACCACAUGAGAGAAUUUCAGCGCAUGCAGAAAAAGACUGAUGAUUCGCUGUCGGCCGACCGAAUGAUGAGAGACUUUGAAGGCCUUAACGUUAACAGUGAUGGUAAUAAUAACGGGGGCAGGAUGAAGGAGUAUUUUUCUCCAUGGACGUUGGAGCUUCAAAAAAAGCUGGUGGAGGCAGUGAUCCAAUUGGGUGGGGUUGGGAAGGCAAUUAGGCCGGGCGGCCCAUGCGGUAUUCUGAGACUGAUGGAUGAGGAGCGCCGCCGGGGCCUCACAGAGCAGAUGGUAAAGAGGCGUCUUUGGAAGUUGAUGGAUUUGCAGAAGAAGACUCGUCGAGCCACAGCCACGCUGGAUGGGACUCAUGCCGCGUCUAAUAUGGUGGAUAUCAGUAGAGAUCUUGUCCGCCGGCAUUAUGCAACUAAAGGCUAUCUUCCAAUUAUGUAACGAGAGAGAUAUAUUAAUUAAUAAGUGUAAUAUAAAUAGAUAUUUGAUAUGAAUAUUUUCACUGUGAAAUUCUCUUUUGCGGUGACUAGUUACCCUUCAAAAACUCGGUCUUUGUAGUCUUUCAUGAAUUUUGGUUACAGAAAAUUCCUAUAAAAAUGUUUACACAAGAUAAUAUAAACAAAAUAGAGUUUUUAAACCACUAAAAUACUUUAUAUUUCAAACAUUAGAAAUAAUGUUUCUUGAGCCUGUUCGGGAAGCAGCAAAAGAAUUUUAAAAAAUACUUUUUAAAAAAUACUUUUGAAACCAAUCAAUACCUAGUAAAAACGUAAGUGAGUCAUGGAAAAGCACUUGAAGUGCUUUUGGGACCCAAAAACAUGUGCUUUAAAAACGCUUUCAGUUAUUUUAAAAGAACUACCAAAUGAACGUUUAGUUAGAACAUAUUUUUAAUGUCAUUUACAGAAAGAUAGUCCAUUUUCCAAAGUUAUACACAACAUUAUAAUUUAAGUUUGGACUUAAACCUAGAAUUUGAGACGGGUGGGUGAAACGUUUGAGUCUAUUUUCAUUAGUGGAAAAGUUGUGUCAAAAUAUGGUCAAGGAACACAAGAUUUAUUAGUUAAUCUAGAAAGAAUAGAUAAGAGAGAAGACCACUUAAACCAAAUAAUUAAGGGUAGGCACGUGGUGAACAGUAAUCACUAGAAUAAUGCCAUGCUUCUGUCAAGCACCAGCUUCUUACCAGCUCAAUCCAAACUAAUUUAAUGAAGUUGGAAAACUGAAAUCACUUGCAGUAAUCAUAUUUUAUUACUGUAAUCUGCUUAAUGUAUUGUUUCUUAACCUUCUCUGGAAGCAGCAAAGCCUUUGAAAAUAAAGUAGCAACAUCGAAGACAGUUGAGUCUUGGAGCUGGUCAAACACAACAGAGAAUCUACUGACUGAGUUACUUAUAAAGAUAAAAAAGAACAGAGAAUCUUGUGGAUGCAGCCUUAAUAGUUGGGAAGAUCUUAAGUUCUGGAAGAGGUUUCGAUGGUUUCAAGAAAAGCCCGCAUCACACUUUUGAUUUAUGAAACUUAGAACUUGAAUCUGGGAAUUAUUUGUAUUUUUUAUUAUAUUUUUUAUUUAGACAGUCACUUGCUGCACCUUGGAAACCGCAGCUUUUCCAUGAUUCCUUCAACAUACCCCACACUCCCACUUUUUUCUUUUCCAAGCAUCAUACAUUUUAUCUUAUUGAUUUUUCCCCAAGUGGAUUGAAGAACAGGUACGCUCUUCUUUCGUUUAAACAUUUCUCGUUUUAUGCAGACGUAGUCCACUCAGGCACGAGUUUUUACAAUAUCGGUCUUAUAUUUCUCCAUUUUGUACAAGACAAUGGGUUGUCCAAAUGGGAUUUUCUUGAUUUGCAUUUUUUUCUGUGUUUCAUCCAUCCCAUCCAUUUCUGUGGAUGCUUCUUUUGUUCGUCAAGAUAGUUUUUUCAUUGAUUGUGGGGGAAGCAAGGCAUUGAAGCUUGAGGAUGGCAGGAUUUUUGAGCCUGAUUCUGGAAACCCAAAUUUGAUUUUAUCUUCCCAAAGCCACAUUGCAGUUUCAGAUCUUGAAUCCAAUCCGUCAAACCAUUCAAUAUCUCUCUACAAUUCUGCCCAAGUUUUUGAAGAGACUUCAUUUUAUACCAUUCACACCAAGCAGAUUGGCCGCUAUUGGCUCAGAUUGCAUUUUUAUCCUUUCGAAAACGCGAAAUUCAAUUUGAAAUCUGCGGUGUUUUCGGUUAUGGUCAAUGGGAUUACACUGCUUCAUGGGUUUUCUUUCGCAAACGAGCGCAAAAUCUCUCAACUUGUAAAGGAAUAUGUGUUUGAAGUGAGUGGAAAGGGUUCUGGAAAAUCGUUGGUGCUGAGAUUGUCACCUUGGAAUAACUCAGUUGCAUUCAUCAAUGGAAUAGAAGUUGUUUCUGUGCCGAAUGGGCAGUUUUCUAGCUCCCAAGUAAUUUCUGUUCCUUUGGGAAAACCUCUAGUUGAUGUUCCUAAAGAUGCCGCUCUUGAGACAGCGUAUCGGAUAAACAUGGGAGGCCAGCACAUAAGUAGCCCCAAGAAUGACACAAUGUGGAGGACAUGGAAGCCUGAUCAUGCUUUUCUUCUCAACGCUGCAGCGGCACGAACCAUCAGAGCUGAUCCGGGAUCCAUCAACUACCCUGAUGGAGUUUCACUCGACAUUGCACCCAAUUGGGUUUAUGCCACAGCUCAAGAAAUGGCAGAUGCAAAGGUCAGCAGUCAGAAGUUCAACAUAUCAUGGGCAUUCGAAGUCGAAAAGGGCUUCAGUUAUCUGAUCAGAUUGCAUUUUUGCGACAUUGUGAGUGUGGCUCUCAACCGUUUAAUCUUCAAUGUGUAUAUCAACAACCAAUCUGCUUUAGACUCUUUUGAUAUCUCAAGCCGGACAAAGAAAUUAUCAUCAGCUUAUUUCGUAGAUUUUGUGACGAAUGUAUCCAUGCACGAAAAUCGGAUUUUGGUUCAAGUAGGUCCUCCUACGCUGAGGGAUCUCCCUUCAAAUGCAAUUUUGAAUGGAUUGGAGAUUAUGAAAAUGAGUGAUCACAGAGACAGCCUUGAUGGGAACCUUCCGGCGAAUAACAAUGCAGGUUUGAAAUCCGGGGCAGGCAAUAAAAAGUGGAUGCUGCUGGCAAUUUGUGCUUCUUCAUCAGGAUUUGUAGUUUGGUACUCAUAUCAGCUGCUUUCUUCUUGUACUGGCGGCAAAUCCAUCAGAGGAAGCUAAGGCCUAAGUGCUCUGCCUGGUUGUCUUUUCCUAGCCAUGCGGGGAAUUCCGAUUCAAAAGUUUCCGUUGGCAGUUAUGAUUAUUCCACAGCACAUUCACCUGGUUUACGCCGGAUUCUAGCAUUCAAGGAGAUUCGCGAAGCAACGAGGAAUUUUGACAAGAGCUUGGUCUUGGGAGUGGGGGGAUUCGGCAUGGUUUACAAAGGAGUGCUAGAAAAUGGGAACGUGGUUGCAGUAAAGCGCGGAAACCCGCGUUCCCAACAAGGCCUUACAGAAUUCAGGACAGAAAUCGACAUGCUGUCAAAGCUCAGGCACAGGCAUUUGGUUUCUCUGAUAGGCUACUGCGAAGAGCUCAACGAAAUGAUCCUUGUUUACGAGUACAUGGCCAAAGGUCCUCUUCGAAAGCACUUGUAUGGUUCGAAUCUUCCUCCGCUUACUUGGAAACAAAGGCUUGAAAUCUGCAUUGGAGCAGCAAAGGGCCUGCAUUACCUUCACAAUGGGGCAGCAGAGAGCAUAAUUCACCGCGACAUUAAGACAACAAACAUACUUCUCGAUGAAACCCUCACUGCGAAAGUGGCUGAUUUUGGAUUGUCAAAGUUAGGUCCUACUUUGGAUCAAACACAUGUGAGCACUGCAGUGAAGGGGAGCUUUGGAUAUCUUGAUCCAGAUUACUAUCGCCGGCAGCAGCUAACGGAGAAGUCAGAUGUGUACUCUUUCGGAGUAGUUUUAUUAGAAGUCUUGUGUGCUAGGCCACCUAUAAACCCUGCCCUCCCCAGAGAGCAAGUUAACAUAGCAGAAUGGGCAAUGAGUUGGCAAAAGAAGGGAAGAUUAGAGAAAAUUAUAGACCCCCGUCUUCGAGGACAUGUGAAUCUUGAAUCAUUGCGAAAGUUCGGAGAAACAGCUGAGAAGUGUUUGGCUGAAUACGGAGUUGAUAGGCCAACAAUGGGGGAUGUUUUGUGGAAUUUGGAGUAUGCUCUUCAACUACAAGAGGCUUCUACACAGAGCUUUUCGUCCGAAAACAGUGCGAACUACAUUCCGGAUAUGCCAGAAUGGCUUCAAGAAAUUCGAAAUGUCAAUGGUGGUGGUGGUGGUGGUGAGGGAAUUAGCGAUCAAGAAUCUGAUGCAACUUCAAGUGCAGUUUUUUCAGAGUUAUUGGAUCCAAGGGGGAGAUAGUUAUGGAAAGUGUAGCCUCUCAUUAAUUAUAGCAAUAUAUUGUUUCUCCUUUUUUAAUUUCAUGACUUGUAUUAUGAUUUCAAGAUCAAAGUGCAAGGGAAACAUGGAGAUCUGGCAUAACAUGACGAGUGUAGACCUUCAAAAUAUUGAUGUUUUUUCUGUGUAUGAACUUGAUCACACUCCCAAUUCAAUUAAUAUUGGGCCAGCACAGGUCCAAUGUGAAAUUCUUCAGUAAAGAUACGAAGAUUGUUACAUGAUACUACGAGUUUACUUACAUGUAAAACUUUGAUACUAACGUAUUUAUUAAACAAUUCAUUAAAUUAUAAUCUGUAGUUGCUAUGUAUCCACAUAUUAUAACAACAUGAAAUUUUAUACACUAGUUUUUUUCUUUUAUUUUUUAUUCUCAAACAACGAAUGCAUUAGAAAAUGUAAGGUGUUAAUGCGAGUCCUUUCUGAAAAGAAAAAAAUAAUUUAAGGUGUCAAUUUUAACUAGAGUAAUAGUUUAGGAAAUCAAUCAGAUUUUCUUGAUUCGCUAAGCUUUUACCGCUAACCGGAUAUACAGGUUCCACAGCCGAUGUUUCAGGUGUUUAUAGGGAAAUCCAUGCAAGUUAUUAAGCAGAAGAACACUGGGGGUUUCUAAGCUCUUGAGCAAUUUAGGAGAGAACAAAUAAGAAAGCCAGCCAUUUACCAAAAUGCCGAUCAACAGAAUUGCAGUUGGAACGACGGGGCAGGCAAAGCCACCCUGAUGCAAUUCGGGCUGCGUUUGGUGAGUUUUUCUCCAUGCUUAUUUUUGUUUUUGCUGGUGAAGGCUCUGGCAUGGGUUUCAGUAAGUCCCCAAUUUAACAAUUUCUAUGUAGAUAUUUUUCGAGUUCGGCUCACUUGGAUUGACAUAUUAUACAUAAGAGCUUACGAUUUUAGGAUUCAAUAAUUGUUGGAGCGAGAUUUCCAAGAAGAAAUACCUUCAUAGAUUUGUUGACCGUAAUCCUCACGUUCGCCGAAUCUUUCUCUCUGAUAUCCCAGAAUAGUCUUCCUCCGUAACUUGCCCGAACGGGGAUACCUGCAAAAGAUACUCCGACGCUCAAGUCAGCUGAUUGGUUUUUCUCUUCUCUAGAUUCUCUCGAAGGGCCCAAUGACAAGAAUCUCUUACGAUAUCUAGGUUUAAAAUUAAAGAAGCUAGUUUCACCCUUAAUAACCGUCAAGUCGAAGAGAUAGAGAAAAUCCCUAAAACCUAAGGAUACACCUAGCUUCAGACCCAAUGUAAGAAAGGUCGACAUAAUCAAGUAAGAGUUCAGGUUCAGUUGCAUAGGGUGAGUAUUGGUGAAGAAUAAGAUGAGAUGAAUCAUGGGGUGGAGCGGGAAACUAAUGAUCCCUAAGUGAUCCAGAGACAAAACGGUAGACCCGGUUGGGAUACCGAGGCCCGAAUACAUGUCGCCUCUGGCAGGAAGUGGGCUAAGGUGUAUAUCAUUUGGAGCAUGACCUAGGUCACGAGCCUUGACAAUUUCGAAGUGUGGUGGAGUACCACCAUAUUUAGACCAGGGUGUACGUCUCGUUAUGAUAAACGGGUGGGAAACUUAAUGGCCAAAAUUGGUUAGAUAAGACAGAAGAGGAAUUUGUGCUCGUAAACAUAAGUGGAAUGUGUUUGUACCAUACUUAGGGCAUCCGUGUUUAGAUCUCGUAUAAAUACUCGGGGGACUCAAAUGUAAUUAUGUAAUAAAGGAAUAGGCAAAUAUGUAAUAAAGGAAGGGGGAAAUAUGUAAUAAGUGAUGAGCCCUUAUUCUAUAAAAGGGACUCCUCACCCUCACAAUUGGAAAGGCCUCACUCUCAUAUUCAGAGCUCUCAUCCUCACAUAGGAGGCUCUCUCUCCCUCACAAUCCUCUCACAAACAAAGAAAUACAAUAUUAGUGUGGACGUAGCCCAAACAUUGGGGUGAACCACGAUACAUCUUGUGUUAUUUACUUUCUUGCAGAUUCACGGUCGGAUUUACGUUGUUCCAAGACCCCUCCGGUUUUGUGCAUCAACAUUUGGCACCGUCUGUGGGAAAUCGACACGAAAAGCUAUGUCGGUUCUCUUUCAUUUUUUCACCUCCACCGUGAAUCUGCAAAAACCCAACAACCCAAAGCUUUCCCAGAAAAAAAAUCACAAAAACCAAGAACACCACACACUCUCUCUCUACUUUCUCUCUCAUCAGCAAAUUCCAAUCCUUUUCACUCAUUCUAAAAAAAGCUUCUGCAUUUUUCACAAUCUGCAAAUCCUCCAUUUCUCCAGUCUUCAAGGUCACUCCAAAUUAUUCAAAAACUUGUUUUGGGUACUUUUUCUUACCUGGGUUUUUCUCAGAGCUUCCUAUUAUUUUCUCGGCAUCCAAACAGGUUUUGCAUGUAGAGAGAAGCUUGGUUAAAAGCAUAUAUCUUUAAUCUGAAGGAAAUAGUGCUUCAUUUAAUGUGAUCAAUCUUAGCCCGUGAACCAGUGAUUGAAAUUCUAUGUUUGGCAUUGAAGAUUUCCCUAAAGAUUUUGUGUCAGAGCUCAAGAAUUACUCACAUUCAUAAAGAAAGGAACAAAGUUGGAGUGGGAAGAAUGCUGGAAGCAGAGCUCUGUGGUUCUCGGAUUCUAUCGCCUUUUCGCUAAGAAAGCGGGGAUAAGGAACUUUCAGUUCUUCCCAGGCACACAAAGGUUAUUGUCACUGGAAACAAUUAAACAAAUUCUAUUUUGGUGGGUCUUCAAGGCGUGGUCAAGAAAGCUGUUUGCCUUGGGGGUUGGCACUGGCUGAGUUUUGGGUGAGGAGCAGACUUGUAAAAUGGAGAGAAAGCAGGUCACCAUGUGGUGCAGCUAGAGCCGCUGAUGGUUCCGAGAUCCUGGAGUUUGAGGCUACCCGAGGCGCUAUCGCCGUUGAAGAAGGGUCCAGAGAUUCGAACUGGAUUUCUCAAGAACAUUAAACCCUCCAACUUUAUCAAACCUGCCCCAUUUUGUUUCUUAUUAAAAAGUCCCUUGAAAUAUGUGAAGGCAAAAGAUUAAGGUUGUCAGAGAGAAAAAAAAAAUAUGGCAGUUCAGGCACAAAGUUUGUACCUUUCUGAAGAUUGGUCGUUGGCGGCGGUGGCACAGUUCCACUCUGUUUCGGCUAUUGACGACAUUUUUUUUUCGGCAUUCCGAGCCCUCAAUCCCUUGCCGUUCCUCCUCCAGUUAAUUAUUUCCAAUAUGUCACCCAAAAAAAGAAGCACAAAAGCAAAAAUUCCCCCUCCCCCUAAAAAAAAGAAAAAAAAAGAUCAAUUGUCUGAUCCGCCGUCUACAACACUGAUUCAAUCUCCUGGAGAUCUCCCAUUUGUUUCGCUCCAAAACAAAAGCCUUUGGUUUUUUCUGCAUGCAACAUCAUCGUCAUCGCAAUCCGUUCGAUCUUCUGUGUGAUUAGGAAAUUUGAAUUGAUGGGUUUCUUGUCAGAUUAGACGAUCAACAUUUUUUUUUCAACCUUUUCUUUCGCUUUUACCUCCAAAUCUCCUUCUUCUUUCCCGAUUUGAACCUCUAAAUUGUGUCUCCGGGAUUCGACUGUCUCUGCGGAUUAAGGGUUUCGUGCUGAAGGUGAAGGUGCAGGCUGACAUGUUGCUGCCCUCACAGCUCACCAAUGUCUCAAGGAAUCUGCUGGGAUCAAGCUGGACGGAUGCGGCCAGCAAAAGAACAUAUUGAUUACCGCUGCCUUUGGGGGUGUGGGUCAGUAUGCAGCCCUUUUACAGCUGGAGUAUACUGAUCUUUACAACUAACAAGCAGAAGAGGAAAAAAAACAAAGAAGAUGCCCACACUUUCAUCAUGUAUGUUCCCAUUUUCGAAGAAAGCAAAAGAAAAGCAGAAAAGAAAAGAGGAAAGUAAAAGCAGAAAGCAAAAAAAGAUAAAAAGAAUAAGACAUAAUUGCAGUGGUGAUGGCAUGCAGAAAAGGGAAUUAUGGGCGUGACCCAUUGAGAUGAGGAUCAGAUUUAUUUUUGAAUGAUGUGAUUUAUUUUUUGUAUCUUUCGGAGACAUCUGUAUAAACCCCAUCAGAGGUUAAUAAUAAAAAAAAAAAAGGGCAAGCCCAUAAUAAUGGGCUGGAACGUUAUGUGGAGGGCGAAGACCUAUAUACCCAAAAGAGUUAGGCCCUCUAUUAUCACCAACCAGGUGAUCAAAAGUACGUCCAGUACUCUAAAAAUUAUUCGGCAGCCUGCCGCUAUUAUCACCAAACCAAGUAAUCAAAAGUACGCCCAGUACUCUAAAAAUUAUUCGACAACCUGCCGCUAUUAUCACCAACCAGGUGAUCAAAAGUACACCCAAUACUCCAAAAUUAUUCGGCAGCCUGCUGCUAUUAUCACAAACCAGGUGAUCAAAAGUACGUCCAGUACUCCAAAAUUAUACAUGAGCAUCACUCAUGUCAAUCAUACAUAAACAUUCAUGAGCAUCACUCAUGUCAAUCAUACAUAAACAUUCAUGACCAUCAUUCAUAUCAACAUUCAUGAACAUCACUCAUGUCAACAUCCAUGAGCAUUACUCAUGUCAACAUUCAUGAGCAUCACUCAUGUCAAUCAACAUAAACAUUCAUAAGCAUCACUCAUGUCAAUCAGCUUCAAAAGCUUCAUUUACAAAGUUUUAGCUUCGAAAGCUUCAUUUACAGAGCUUCAGCUUUCAAAACUUUAUUUACAAAAGCUCCAGCUUCAAAGCUUCACUUGCAAAGCUUCACCUACAAAGCUUCAGUGCAGGGUGUACAAAUACCACAUCCGAACAACCGCCACUUCGGCCCAUACAUGGAUUCAAUUUGAAGUUUCCAGCCAACAAACUCUAUUAACUGAAGACUUGGGGGACUACACUAUGUACCAUAUAUUGGGCUUCAUGAAAAAUACUUGGGGGACUCUAGCCCAUUAUUUAUGUACUGAUGAGCGAACCCUUAUUCUAUAAAAGGGACUCCCUCACUUUCAUUAGAGAGCACCCAUUACUUAUGUAUUGAGGAGCGAGCCCUUAUUCUAUAAAAGGGAUUCCCUCACCAUUAUUAGAGAGUAUCGCCGCCUGCUGAGCAACUGGCUCGCCGCGAGCAUCACUCUUAAACCAUCACUUAUGUAUUGAGGAGCGAGCUCUUAUUCUAUAAAAGGGACUCCCUCACCUUCAACACCACAAACCAAACCAACCAAGGCAACAUAAGCCACAAGCCGAGCAGCCUCGCAACAUGUGCUACUUCUAGUUAAGCAUCAUUUCAGAUUGAACACCACCUCAUAUCGAGUAUUCAGAUCUAGACGACAUGUAGUUACUUCAGCCCACACAUGGACUGAAUUUCAAGUCUUCAUCUAAAAAACUCUCUUGACUGAAGACUUGGGGGACUAUUGUUUGUACCAUACUUAGGGCCUCCAUAUUUAGAUCUCGUAUAAAGGGGGACUCAAAUGUAAUUAUGUAAUAAAGGAAGAGGCAAAUAUGUAAUAAGUGAGGAGCCCUUAUUCUAUAAAAGGGACUCAUCACCCUCACAAUUGGAAAUGCCUCACUCUCACCUUCAGAGGCCUCACUCUCAUAUUCAGAGCUCUCAUCCUCACAGAGGAGGCUCUCUCUCCCUCACAAUCAUCUCACAAACAGAGAAAUACAAUAUUAGUGUGGACGUAGCCCAAACAUUGGGGUGAACCACGAUACAUCUUGUGUUAUUUACUUUCUUGCAGAUUCACGGUUUACGUUGUUUCAAGACCCCUCUGGUUUUGUGCAUCAACAAAAUGUUUCAAAUAUUCUCACAAGAGGGGUUUGAAAUGGAAAAUUACCUGUAAACUAAGAUGUCACUCUGAAGCGAGAAAUCACAGGCUUGGAGAAGAAACUAAGCAGAGGAAGUGAAGAAAAGCAGGGAUGGAGAAACACAAGGUAAUGACACACACACACACAUACACACACACAUAUAUAUAUAUAUAUAUAUAUAUAUAUAUAUAUAUAUAUAUACAUGCGUGCAUAGAGAUGUACACAAAUAUAUGAACAAUACGUACAAAGAUCCACAUGUCAGUAUGCAGAGAUAUGCACACGUAUGUUGCUGGUAGGUUUGCCUAUAUAUGCCUAUGAAUCCAGACAUAUAUAUGUAUAUAUAUAAAGGCAAGUGUCAGAAUUGGUGUGUAUACAUAUAAAAAAGCAUGCAAAAGUUUGGCAAGGACGUGAUGUCCAUAAAAGUACGCAUAUAUAUAUAUAUAUAUAUAUAUAUAUAUAUAUAUUGGUGUGUAUACAUAUAGAAAAGCAUGCAAAAGUCUGGCAAGGACGUGAUAUUCACAAAAGUACGCAUAUAUAUAUAUAUAUAUAUGUGUGUGUGUGUGUAUAAAGGCAAGUGUCGGUAUUGGUGUCUAUAUGUAUGCACGCAAGUGUGUGAACGUGUUUUAGACUUCUGCGAUGCAGCUAUAGCUGCUGCUUUUGUCAGUUCGACAAGAUGGGACAAUGAUUUAUAUAAUAGAUACGCCUACGUGUAACCUUUCAGAUAGCCUACGCAGUUAUAUUUCAUCGGUCAUCUUUCGUCGUGUCAGUCCAUUUUCGUAAUGUCAGUCCACUUUCGUAAUGUCAGUCAUUGUUCGUAAUGUCAGUCCACUUUCGUAGUGUCAGUCUCCGUUCGUAAUGUCAGUCCACUUUCGUAAUGUCAAUCAUCGUUCAUCAUGUUAGUCCACCUCCGUAAUGCCUUCGUAAAUCAUCGCUCAUAAAUCUUCAUACGUAAAUUCUCGUUCGUAAAUCUUCGUUCGUAAAUCCUCGUUCGUAAAUGUCAGUCUGCUUUCGUGGAAGGUGUCAGCCCACAUUUUAUGUGAAGAUGUGAGGUGACUUUCAUAAAGUAAGCAAAGGAACCUGUUUGGCUUUUGCGAGUUAGGCACACAAAACAAUGAUUUUGGUAAAUUUACCUUAAGUAAAUUUACCCGUAGAAAAAACAACUUCCACAAAUUUGGUCUUAGUAAGAAAUGCUUAAAGUUUUAGCUAGGUUAAAAAAGCAUAGUUUCAAGGCCACAUGUGAUCGAAAAACUUAGUUUUUCCCUAUUUUACAUACGUAAAAAGGGGAAAAAAUGGGCAUUGUGGGAGGAUAAAAUCUGGUUUGACUCAUGGGCCAAUCCAAGUCACCCAGGGAUGGUGUUAUGCAAGGUAAACCGUAAGGAAAGCCCAUGAGGAAUAGGCGCACGUGUCCAGGUAAUCGCCUCCACUAAGGAGGAUCAUUAAGGAAGUGGGAAAGGAAAAUAUGACGUAGUGCUUGUUCCCGAAGCAUGCGGUCAUAUUACGGAGGACCACUAAGGAAGUGGAAAUGGGAAGAGAGAUCAUGAUACUUGUUCUCCAGGCAUGCAAUCCUAUAAAUAUGGAGAUGAGCCAAAUAACAAGGUACGUAAGGAGAACCCAAGAGAAUCCAGAGAAGAGAAAAACCAAUCAGCUGAUUUGACCGUCGGAGUAUUUUUUACAGGUACCCCUGCCCGGGCAAGUUACGGAGGAAGACUAUUCUGGGAUAUCAGAGAGAAAGAUUCGACAAACGUGAGGAUUACGGUCAACAAAUCUGUGGAGGUAUUUCUUCUUGUAAGAAAUCUUUAUCAGAAAGGAGCUCAGGAUGCUGCGACGUCCAAAGUACGCCGCGCACGAAGGAAAAGUUGGCCGAGGUCAAGCGAGCGAGGGCCACUGAGCGCGAGAUGAAUAUGCAGCAAAUACGUAAGGAGAUGGCUUCCAACUUCAUAUUUGGUUGGGUGCAAAGCCAACAAUGCCCGGAACAUUGAUAUGUAGCUGAUCCUGACGUGUAUGAUCACCAUAUAGGGAUUGAAUCGGGUGUAUAUGAGUGGUACGAAGGGAUGGAUCCUAAAGAUUGGAGACCCUCAGACCAACCUGCUUCUUCUGAUCUUAUCCCAAGCAACGGGUUUGUUACUACUUCCAGACCUAUCUCAAGUUUAGGCUUUAGAAGCUUUCAAUUUGGCCAUCGUUUCGGCGCUCAGUAGCUCACGUAAUCGCGUGGUCUGUUCUUUUAGGCUAAACCCCCAUUUGUGUUAGUGAUCCGUUCUCAUGGGCUAAAACCCCAUAUGUGUUUGUAAUCUGUAUUUUACUUACUAUCUCAGUUGUAUCUUUGCGCAAUUGUCGUCACAAAUUGGGCAUUCGCCUUUCCACUGCCUAACUAUUCCUAUAUGUUCCUUUUGAUUUUCAAUUUUAACUGAAUGUGAUCAAUAUCCUUAAUCCUUAAAUUUGAGUUUUCAAACCAAAGAUUAACUUAUCUUAAUAAGAUAUGAUCACCUUAGAUUUUGAAUUUUCGUUUCUAUCAACCUCGAAUUGCCUCUAUAUAAAGGGGUGUUUGAGAGCCAUUCAGUAGUACCUGGAUUUCAUGGCUAACAAUUGAAAAGUGAAGCUUCACUUCCGGCUCUACGCUGAUGUUCCCAAAAAAGGAAGCUCCCGGAGGGGUUCCAAAGGUUUUAGAAAUGUAAUCGAGCUAUGUUCUAAUUCCUCUUCUCGUUCGCCAAGGAGGGCUUCUUAUUCUUUUGAAGUCCCUAACACUUUUCGUGAAUCCACAUACCAGUCUUGAAUAAGAUCGGGUAGAGAACAAGCUCUAGACUUCAUUGUCAGCGGAAUGAUCUCUCCGAGGCUAAAUCAUACCACUCGGGAUCUUAAUCCGGUUACCAACAUAAUGGUCUAUCCGGGAGGGAGUUACACAACUCGGGCUCCUGACUCUAUCGCUCGUUCUCCCGACCUUUACACAGGAGAUGAAGCGGGUCCUUCUUGCGCACCUUCCCAUCACCACCUAUGCUGUCCCAAAUGCUUCGACUAUUGAACGAGCGUGAAACUUUGAAGAGAUACUUGCAACGCGCUGAACACCAGGUGGAUCAUCUUAGGAGGGAAUUAAUGGCUGCGGAUCAUGUCAUGUCUGUUGCUCACUCAGGUGGCAUACAUGAUGGUUUUAAGUAAAACAUUCAAUAUUUCCGCUCCAAGGCGAAAACGGCAUUUCCCUCCGUAAACUGGGAUAGUCUCUCUACCCCAUUAGACUAGGUGUCAUUUUGCUUGUAAUAAGUUGGCCCCUUAGGUCCAACCAUUACUAGGAUAUCUAGUAGUGAUGUUGUCCUUGUUUUCCCUUUUUUUGCUAGUAGGUUUACUUCUCAUUCUUGUCUUUUAUCGUACUAUGUGUCCAACAUCCAAGAGGUUUUCCUCUUGAAAUAAAACAUAUUCUCUUUUACGGUAGGAGAACAACGUCCCACUACCUAAGCUUUUUACCUUCGCACGCGUCAUGCCUCAUUUUCCUCUGCAAACACGCGACGUGUUCGAGGAGGCAAAUCAUAUUAAAUUCACCCUUUCAUUAUCGAUCUCAUAAACCAUUCAACCUUGAAUUAAUUUUUACCUAUUCGAUCUUAGAUUUUUCGAUCUUGGAUGGGUCUUUGCCCAUUGGCUUUCCUUUCCUGCUCGAUCUUAGAUUUUUGAUCUUGAUUGGGUAUUUGCCCAUUCGAUCUUAGAUUCUCUAUCUUGAUUGGGUCUCUGCCCAUCCGAUCUUGGGUUUUCUUUUCCCAUUCGGUAUUCGAUUUUUGAUCUUGAUUGGGUCUAUGCCCCUGAUCUUGGGUUUUCUUUUCCCACUCGAUCUUAUGUUUUUUAUCUUGAUUCGAUCCUUAUCCCUUAGUUUAUACUCUUUAGCUUUAGACUUUAUUCUAAGAUUCGAAUGAAAUGUAACUUUAUUUAUCAAACAAUAAGGAGAUGUCAACAUACAUCCAGGGAUACACCCUUCGACAUGCAAGGAAAACAGAAAGGGGUUUACCCUUCAACAUUACUGGAAACAGAAAUUUAAAUGUGGAAAACAUAAACAUGAAAAGUUAAAUGUGGUACUUUCUCAAAUGAAUUGUGUUCCACGGGCGCGGCACAUAUUGACCUAUUUCAACAUGCUUGAGUUUAUAAGCUCAAUUUCCGAAGGCUUCGGUCACCUCAUAUGGUCAUUCCUAUAUGCGUCCAAGCUUCCAUGCAUUCAAAUCUUUUAUGUUUUCCAUGACCUUUCUCAAUACCCAUUCUCCUACCCUGAAUCUUCUCGACUUAACCCGCUUGUUGAAGUAAGCGGCAACUUGGUUCUGGUAGUUCGCAAGUCGUAGUGCGGCGAUCUCUCUUUGUUCCCCGACUAAGUUGAGGUUAUGGGCUAGCUACUGAUCAUUCUCAUCAUUUUCCACAACUAAUGUUCUGACCGUAGGUAGACCGACCUCUGUGAGGAUAACCGCUUCAGUACCAUUAGUGAGAGAGAAUGGGCUUUCACCCGUUGGUUUUCAUUUUGUGGUACGAUAAGCCCAUAGUACAUUAGGGAGUUCCUCAUGCCACUUUCCUUUACACUAUUCCAACUUUUUCUUUAAACAAUAAAAAAUUGUUCGAUUCGUCUUCUCUGCUUAGCCAUUGCCCUGGGGAUAACUCCUGGAAGAGAAUUGUAAUGUGAUAUCUUUCUCGAUGCAAUAGCUUCUAAACUUUCGAUUGUCGAACUACGUACCAUUAUCCAUCACAAUCACCCUUGUUAUGCCAAACCGGCAUAUAAUGUUCCGCCAUACGAAUCUUACAACGUCAUCUUGCGUAACAGAAACAUACGAUUCUACUUCUACCCACUUAGUGAAGUAGUCUAUGGUGAGAAGGACGAACCUGUUACUUUUGGGCGUCUUUGGCAAUGGGCCUACGAUGUCCAUGCCCCAUUUUGCGAAUAGUCAGGGUCCUACGGUUGGAUUGAUUUCCUCGGCGGGUUGUUUAACAAUUGGGGCAUAUUUCUGGCAUUUGUCACACUUUCUUACAUACUGCUUCACGUCUCGAGCCAUGUACAGCCAGAAGUAACCUUGAGUUAAUGCUCAAUACGCUAAACUUCUUCCUCCUGAGUGAUUCCCACACAUUCCUUUAUGUAAUUCUCUCAGAACCCAUUCGGAUUGCCUUGAAUUUAAACACCUUAGGUAAGGUCCUGAGAAUGACCUCUUAUAGAGUGUGUCGCUAAGGAUUGCAUAUCUUACUGCUUUCAUUCGGAGUUUUCUCGCUUCCACAAGAUCUUCCGGCUGGAUCCCUUUUGUCAGGUAGUUUACAAUUGGCGUCAUCCAACAAUCAUUAUCUUCAGCUUGAGCUUGCUCUGGCAACGGGUUGUUAAGUCUUGACAUUUGCCCGUCGAUUUGCAUCAUGUUCGAUUGCACUGCUCUGAUACUUAGGGAGUGCAGAUAUUCUACUUUGGCUACCCGUAGGUUCUCUUGUGCGGCUGACGCACGCUAGCUGAUCCGCUCUUUUGUUCAUCUCUCUAAGUAUUUGCUUCAGCUCGAAAUACUUGAAUCCAUUCGCCAGCCCUUUAACCAGUUGCUGAUAUGCUUCCAUCCUCGCAUUUUUAGUCGUAUACUCUUCAGUUGCUUAGCCGACGAUGAGUUGUGAAUCACUAUGCACGGUAAGACGGCUUAUCUUCAAUUGUUUCGCAAGUUCAAGGCCUAGUACCAGGGCUUCGUAUUCCACCACGUUGUUUGAUGCAAGAAAAUCCAACCGAACCGAACACUCUAAGUCUAUACCCUCAAGAGAAAUUAAAAUGAUCCCUGGCCCAUCUCCUGCUUGAUUGGAUGACCCAUCCAUAUAAAGCUCUCAUUUGAUCUCACUAGGGUCGACUUUUGCAAUUUCUUCGCAUUCACCCUGCAAACUUUCACGAGGAUAACACUCUACAAGAAAGUCAGCAAUUACCUAUCCUUUGUCUGCGCUUCGAGGCCGAUACUUUAUGUCAAAGGAACUAAGUUCGAUGACCCAUUUCGUAAUUCUUCUUGAUAAGUUCGGUUUAGAUAAAAUAGCCUUCGUCGGUUGAUUAGUUAACACCACAAUGGUGUGUGCCUCGAAGUACUGACAGAGCUUUUUCUUUGUGGUUACUAAGGCCAACACCAUCUUCUCAGUGGGCGAAUACCUCUUCUCUGCAUCGAUUAAACUUUUGCUCACGUAAAAUAUGAGUUGUUGGACCGAGCCUUAUUCUCUGAAUAACGCAGCACUUACUGACCUUUCGCUUACAGCCAGGUACAUGUACAACGACUCCCCUUGUUUGGGAAUGGUCAAUAACAAUGGGCUUGUGAGAUACUUCUUCAGUUGUUUGAAAGCUUCCCUUUGCUCUUGCCCCUACACAUCUCCUUUCUUGUUUCUUAUGGCUUGAAAAAAGGUUUGCAUCGAUCGGAUGAUCAUGAGAUGAAACGAGUAAGGGCAUCGAUUCGCCCGGUUAACACUUGAAUGUCUCUGGGUGUUACCGGGUCCGUCAUGUUACACAAGGCUUCAACUUUUGCUGGGUUUGGUUUAAUACCUCGUUUGUUCACUAUGUGCCCCAAAAACUGCCUAGAUGAUACACCGAAUGCGCAUUUUGCUGAGUUUAGCUGCAUGUGAUAUCUUCUGAACACGCCGAAAGUGUUGUGUAGAUGAUCGAUGUGUUGGCACCUUUCUCGGCUUUUGACGACCAAAUCGUCAAUGUAAACCUCCAUUGUAUUUCCGAUUUGAUUUUUAAACAUUUUAUUCACUAACCUCUGAUAAGUCGAGCCGGCAUUCUUGAGUCCGAAAGGCAUAACGGUGUAACAAUACAAUCCACGCUCAGUGAUAAAAACAGUUUUCUCUUGAUCUUCAACAGCCAUAUGAAUUUGGUUAUAACCGGAAUAAGCAUCUAAGAAAGACAAUAGUGCGUACCCGGCCGUAGUAUCCACCGUCUGGUCAAUUUUUGGAAUUGGAAAAUAAUCUUUCCGGUAUGCUCUGUUCAGGUUGGUAUAAUCCACACACAUGCGCCAUUUUCCUUUUUCUUUCUUGCCCACUACCACGACAUUCGAAACCCAAGUUGGGCACCAGACAUCACGAAUGAAUCCAACUUUGAGAAGCUUAUCAACUUCUGCACUGAUAAUCUGAUUUCAUUCUGGCGUAAAUCUCCUAUGCUUUUGUCGAUGUGGAGGAGAACUCGGAUCAACAUUCAACUGAUGGCAUGCCACUUCCGGGUCAAUUUCUGGCAUGUCCCUAUGGGACCAUGCAAAAACAUCAGCAUUGCUCCUCAGAAGUUUCAGCAACUCUUCGACUUUCGUAUCAGAUAGGAGGGAGCCCACAGUGCUUCUACAGUCGGGGGUUCCUGAUCGUCAUUUUCUUGAUCCUGCUGUGGUGGGUCCUCUGCUAACUGCUAUAAUGGUUUAUUCUCAUGCAAGUCCGAGCUCUGUUGCACUUCCCUGGUUGUCUUGAUAUUUGUUGCCAUGCCGUAGCAUUUUCUAGCUUCCAGCUGAUCCCCUUUGAUGUCGAUUGUCGUUUGACCAUCCGUCGACAAACACCUCAUUCCUUAACAUCUGGUUGAUGCUUCUUCAUCCAUUCGAUGAAUCCAAUCCUUUCCCAUGAUGUCAUUAUACGCACUCGGUGCAUCAAUUAUGACAAAAGUGACGAAAAGAGUCUUACCUACUGCAGUGACAGGAAGGGUCACGUCUCUAAUGGGUCGGGCUUUAGUUCCUUCAAACACAUAGAUGGGAGUCAGAUUUGGCCUUAUCUCUUUCUCGUCUAAUUCCAUUCUUCUAAAUGUGCUCCAAAAUAGAACGUAUGUGUUGUUUUCUUCAUCUAUCAUUAUCCUUUUCACUCUUGAAUUGGUAACACGUAGCGUCACGAUCAAUGUGUCAUUGUGAGGGAAUUGAAUUCCUCCGAGGUAUUUUAGGCUAAAAGAGAUGACUCCGAGAUUUUCUAAUGCUUUGGAUGCUUCAGGGGCUGAUGUUAUGUUGUGAACACGUCUAGACUUCUCGGCUUCCCUUUUUUACGACCGAUAACGUGCUUCGCAUUCUUCAGGGGGUUGGGGUCCCUCAUGUAUGACAUUAAUAUCCAACAACCUUUCAUCCGCUCCAAUGUUUCCUGUCAUUGUUUUUCAGGGGGUUGGGGUCCACUAUGUAUGACAUUAAUAUCCAACAACCUUUCGUCCGCUCCAAUGUUUCCUGUCAUUUUUUUAAGUCUUCUGUCGUUCUUACGUUCGUCCCUUGAUUUUACGCGACACUGUGACAACAUCCCUUUCUUCAGCAUAGCUUCCACUUGGUUCCUUAGGCUUCGACAAUCGUUGGUGGCAUGACCAAAGUCGUUGUGAUAAGCAUACAUCUUGUUCCUGUCUCUCUCCUCUAGUGGUGUUCGAAUCGGUGUUAGUGCACGAAAGAUUCCCUUUCCCUUAUUCUUGUGGAAAAUUUUGCCUAGGCUCACUGUGAGCUAGGUGUUUAGGCGAUCAAGUCUAGAUCUUUCAUUGAACCCAUCCUUUGGGUCACGUGAGAAUCUUCUUUCUUGCCUAGGUUGAGUGUAGGUUUCAAGGUAGGCACGGUAGUGCCCGCUGGAGAUGCAGCAUUAGUCGCGGUGGCCCGCUUUGAUUGGAUAAGCUACUCUUCCUCUAAUCUGAUGAUUCCAUCAGCUCGAGCUAUCACCUCCCUCAUGUCCAGUGACAAUGUUUCGAUUAACGACCUACGCAUCUUCGUUCCAGGCAACACCCCUUCUCAGAUUGCCAAAGAUUGAGUGUGAGAAUCACAUUCUUCUAGAGUGGACAUCUCCUCCGUUAACCUAGUCAUGUAGCUUUUAAGGCUCUCGCCAACAUUUUGUUUGGUGCUGAACAAGAUCGUAACAUAUUUUCUUGGCCUCCAAUUGCAGACAUAUUAAGAUAUGAAUGUUUCGCAAAGCUCUGUGAAGCUUCCGAUAGACCUCAGUUUCAGUUAUCUGAACUAAGUUAAAGAUGAUCCCGAAAGGCUUGAGGGGAACAAUUUGCACAGGAGGGCCUCGUCGUCUCCUUCAAACGCCAUCUUCUGUUGAAAGUGGUAAAUGUGUUCAACAGGAUCAGUCGUGCCUUCAAACAGUCUAAACUUUAGUUGGGUGAACUUGGCAAGUUUUUUAGCUUUUAGUUAGUCUUCUGUGAACGGCGAUUUGCGAAUUCCUCUGGCCGCUUCUAAGGCAAGCUCUGUCGGGGUUUGUGGCUUAUAUCCCUUCACAAUCUUCUCAAUUUGUUCUCACAAAUCAACAUCCAUUACCUUUUUCGAUCCUUUUCCCCUGUGAUCCCCUUCGCCCUGAUUUUUCGUUACUUCAAUACGGUUACUAGAUGGCACGCUACUAGAGCUGCCCUCCUUAUCUUCCUUUUCUGCACAUUGUCUUUUGGUGCUGAUUACAUCUUCUACCACGUUUCUUGCUUUAGCCUUCUUCAACGCCUCCUCUGCUGUCUUUUUGUUUCACGCAAUUCCCUCGUUAACCUUCUAAAUUGUUCCAUGGCAAGAUUGAGUUCACUAUUUUGAGAUUGAGACCUAGUAUGUACUGAUCGAGUCCCUGCAUCUUCAGAAAGAUUCGGAACUUCUUGUGCGGAUCCAGUCAUGUUUCUAGUUUGAUUUUGUUUCGGUUCCCACAGACGGCGCCAACUGUUGGAGCGAGAUUUCCUACAAGAAGAAAUACCUCCAUAGAUUUUUUUAUCGUAAUCCUCAUGUUCGCCAAACCUUUCUAUCUGAUAUCCCAGAAUAGUCUUCCUCCAUAACUUGCCCGGGCAGGGGUACCUACAAAAGAUACUUCGACGCUCAAGUCAGCUGUUUGGUUUUUCUCUUCUUUGGAUUCUCUCGGGUUCUCCUUACGUACCUUGUUCUUUGGCUUCUCUCCAUAUUUAUAGGAUUGCAUGCCUGGAGAACAAGUAUCACGAUCUCUCUUCCCUUUUCCACUUCCUUAUUGGUCCUCCGUAAUAUGACCGCAUGCUUCAGGAACAAGCACCACGUCAUAUUUUCCUUUCCCACUUCCUCAAUGAUCAUCCGUAGUGGAGGCAGUUACCUGGACACGUGCGAUUGUUCCUCGUGGGCUUUCCUUACGGUUUACCUUGCAUAACACCAUCCCUGGGUGACUUGGAUUGGCCCAUGAGUCGAAACCAGAUUUUAUCCUCCCACAAUAGUCAUCUAUAUUUGUCAGCCUCUUCCUGUUGCGGUAAUAUAUGAUAGAGAUUAACAUGAUAUAUGUUAUUUGUUCAUUUCUUAAAAAUUUACGUUUAUAGUUUCCAUAGUUGCCUCGUCUACUUUCGCUAACCUCUUUUUAUGAGUGUGUAAUAUGUGACGGGAAAACUCUAGCUUGAUAUAUAUUGUUUAAUUAAGAUUUCCGUGUGGUGUUAUUUAUAUCUUUUUCUAAUUCAAUUGAAUAAUGAAGGGAAGUUUAAAUAAUGAGGUGUGUUAUCCACACAUCCCUUUUUACUUUUCACACACGCUUUGUUAAUUUAUGUUAUUUGAUAUUUUUCAAUUCAUCCGAUCUGACGGCUGAAAAUUGGAAAGGUGUAUGAGAAGUAAAAAAGAAUAUGUAGAUAUCACACCCCUAAAUAAUUUUGUCAGACAAGCUUACUAACAAUGCCUUGACCACAGUAGCACACCGUCGGGGCUCGUAGCUGCCUCAUUAGCUUAUGCAUUUGCACCUUUUGUGGCGGUCUCAGUGGGUGCAAAUAUUUCUGGGGAUCACAUAAACUGAGCUGUCAUGUUUGGUGCAUUCAUUGGUGGAAACAUAACACUUCUGAGGGGCAAUUGGUACUGGAUUGCACAGUUGUUGGUUGUCUGCUGCUCAAGUUUGCCACUGGUGGAUGGGUAAGUUCUAAGGAGCUUACUGGUCAAUACUUAAUAGUUAAUUGAUUUUACAAGAUGUGUUUGCAACUAUCGUCUAGGCACGCUCAGAUAACUCUGGAUAACUCUCAAUCGUUGAUGCAAUAUGAGAUUUACAUGCUUCAAUGGUUGCUAGUGAGCGAUUGUUACAUUUCUUUUAAUUGUACGAAUAUCCUACUUGAUGUUUUUGUUGAUGAAUUACCCAACUGCCUGCAGGAAACGACAGGGUUCUCACUAUCGUCCGGCAUGUCGGUAUGGAAUGCUCUAGUGUUUGAGAUUGUGAUGACCUUCGGCUUGGUCUACACAGUGUGUAUGCCACAGCAGUGGGUCCAAAGAAGGGGACUGUAGGGAUUGUAGCACCAAUAGCAACUGUUGGUGCCAACAUUUAGGCUGGGAGUGUGUUUGAUGGUACAUCCAUGAACCCAACAGCGUCGUUUGACUCUGCCAUGGUCAGUUAGUCAUGGACGCACCACUGGGUCUAUUGGGCUAGCCCACUAAUUGGUGCUGCCACCGCAGUUCUUGUCUAUGACAACAUCUUCAUCGGUAAUGGGAUCCAUGAACAGGGUCCUAAUGACUUUUAAAAACUAGUCCAUGCUAGCUUGUUUAAGAUGGAUGCAAUUGUUCAACUAAAGGCCUCUUGGGGCAUAAAUCGAAUUUCGUGUAAUUUUUGGGGGGCUUAAAUCAAAUUUCAUAUAUUUUUUGUUGUAGGGUUUGUUAUUUUUCAUUUUAUGUUGUAAGUGGGAGUAGUGCUAGUUGGUUGAUGUUGUCAAAUCGUUUUAUAUAGUGGAAUUGCCUUGUUUGCUUUGUGAUCUUCUUGUACAGGUUCAUUUGCUAUAAUUUUUUGAAGAGGAGGAGAAAAGGGGGGAAUUAGGGUGUGGUUGAUUGAAGCAAAUCAUGUGAAAAAGAGAAAAAAAACAUGUGUCAAAACUAGAAACUAGUUGUUUUGGACAAGACGAUAUCCUAAAUAACUAUAACAGGUAGAGAGAAUUCAAACUUGGUGUUAUAGCACAUACACAUUACACUGACAAACUGAUUCAAUCCCUAUUUACCAUACGCACACGCUUUUAAAUUAUUUAUACAUACAUAGAGUCGAUCACAUAACUAACAAGAAAGCAUCAUGUAAGCGUAUUAUACUCUUUUCUCAGUCUUGAUGCUGCUAAUUAUCAGUGGCUCAACCGUUCUCUUAUAUGCUCUGCCAAAGUGGUUUCAUCCUCUUCAGUAGUAAACCCCACCAACUUUAUCAUUUUCAGAUGGGCCAAUUUUGUUUGGGCAUUGACUUUCUUCCAGGGCAGAGCUGUCCUUGCCAUGCAGUAGCUUUUAGGAUCAUUCUGCAUUAUACAGUCAAACACGAGAUUAAAAAAAAAGGAGCCAUAUUUGAAAUUUUGGAACUCAGAUAGUGAUUGAAAUUGCAAUAUAAAAAUCUUUUCAACAACAUUACUUCACUUUAUUACAUAAGUUGGGUUUUAUCUUCAAAGGAAAAAAACAAAAGGGCAUUGAUAACACAUAUUUUUUUAUUGGACCACGUACAAAAUUACUUGUAUAGUUUUGGGUGAAAGAAACUUACAGUUAUAUAGAGUUGCUCCAAAGCUGGACAUAAUUUAAUGAAGGAUAUUAGAGGAUCAAUGCUGAAUCUUUCUUCCCAGUUAUCAAUCCACCAUAGCUCUUUCAGCUUGUAGAAUAUGAAGUUUGCUUGUAGAGGCAAAAGGGAUGGCCAGAUCAAUGUCUGCAAAAACAUUUUCAAACUUUAAAAACAGACGUGCAUCAUUAUUGUUGAAACAUCGAUAAAAAAACAUUUUGGUAAUUUUUUUUUAAGAACAACGUUUCCACCAUAUUAUCGUUGAUAUAUAAUGCAGUCGUUAUUUAAAAAUUAGUUAUGAUUAUAUUUGUGUGUUUAAUAUAGCUUAAUAGUUCGCAGCCAUGACUAGAAAAUGCAAAAAUUACUAAAACACACCUGGAAAGUCCAUUUGCAUAGUGUGAGAACUUGAGCAUUUUUAAUGGUUAACAACAUAGGAUCAAAGUCGCUACUUUUGAAUCCGCCGUAGCCGGGGCCUUGCCUGAAAUCAAGCAUGGCGUCUGCCAAGUUAAAAUGAUGUUCCCUCCAAAUAUGAGGGACAAAACCGCGGUAUCGAAAAGAUCGAAGUUUGGAAGUUUUGAGGUGGAGAGACUUGAGAUUCUGGCAGUCAAAGAUGGUCAAGCUAAGUAGCCUUGGACUGGACUCGAUAUGCAAAGAUUGUAACCCCUCACAUUCAAUGAUCUUCAAUUUUUCAAGAUAUUCGAAACUUGGAAUCAUAGAAGAAACUGCUUCAUUGCCAAAAGAGCUCACUGAUUUUAGGUAAAGAAUUUUGACAAAGAAAGUAGAGGGAGAAGGCUGGUGAGAAAUUAGGGUUUGGUCCCUUUGGUGAUUCAGCUUCAAGUGCCAACCAAAAUGCCUUGGAUUUUCCCGAUUCUCUGUCGAACACUCCAGACGGAGUUUAUUGUUGGGUGCAACUGUAGCCAAAAGGAGAUCGCCAAGUUUGCCAAAGUGCAGUUGCAGCUUUCUGGGAUGCCCUAAGGGAUCAAGCUGGUUAAAGUGAGAGACAAAUUCAGAAACUGCAUCAGCUGCAUCAUCAUCUGUAGUGAUCUGCUUCGCUAAAGUUGUAUUCCACAGGCCUCUCCACCUACUUGAGAUUAAACUGGUUUCUAAUGCAGAUUCUGAAGGGAGAAAAGAAAUAAUUCUGCAAAUGAUUUCAUUUGGUAAUUUGCCAAACAAAUCAUCUGCUAUUUCCUUCUCCAUACCUCUAGCUAUUCGACUAAGUUUACUACAAGCCUAGAAAAGAUGACAACAAGAUCGCUUUAUAAUAUUGAUGCCAUGAAGAAGGAAAUAGAUUCUGACUAGACUUAUUUAUCAGAUAGAAUAAUACUAAAUAUUCAUUGGGUAGCAAGAAAUUAAAAGCAUAUAUAGAUUCUGAUUUUAAUUAACAAUAUGUAUACAUUAGUUGGUAAGCUCAUAAUUAAAUCUUAUGGGGCAUUCCUAGUCAUGGCGUAGCCAUCUACGUAGAUCAGAGCCAUUUAAAUGCAAUACGAAAAUGCAAUGAAAGUCAUUCCUACAUUAGCACCUUAAUAUAUAAUUAUAUAUAUAACAGAAAGUUUUUUAAUUUAAUUUGCCAAUUGUCUCCACAACAGCAUGAAUUUGACGCACAUCAUAUUAGAUUUAUAAAAAUUUAGGAUAUAUAUAUUUUUUUUCAAAGUGAGACCCAAGGCACAUUUUGUUAGCCUUAACUUGCCGACUCUUUUUUUUACUACAUCGAUAUUUUUACACUAUGAGAGGGGGAGUUCGGCUAAGUCACAACUAGCUGACUCUUACAUGUUAGAUAUAGUUUUUUUUCAUUAAAAUAAAACAAAAAGCUUAUAGGGUAAUGUUCUUGAAUUGGUUUUCUAAAGCUUUAAAAACGAGGAUUAAAAUAACCAGAUUCGAAAUUUCAAACUCAAUUGGAGUAUAAGAUUUAUGGACCUCGUUAAUGAUAUAGACAUGUCCGGCACAACUAACAGUUCGAUUGAGGUUUUGUAAGAGUUCAUCAAUUUGUUUGAGGUUUUAGUAAUACUCGAUUGAGCAAAGCAACCUACACAAGCAUCCCAUCAAACAAGAUAGCUAUGUGUACACCUAACAGUUUGUAGACUUCGUACUAGGUAACUAACUAACUGUUUUCUUAGGUCAAAUUACAUAUAAAAGCAUCCCAUAAAAGACAGUUUUGUUUUGAUAGUCUGUUUAAGAUUUCAAUUCAGGACAGUGCUACCUUGCCGUUGUUAAGAACGAUUUGUUAUGGUUUCGAACAUCUGGAGAAAUUUCAUCAUAAAAUUGUAGAAUUAUAAUUUUGAGUAGAAAUGAGAAGAAAGUUGGACCUUGUAAGUUCUAAAAAGUCUAUUUUGCCACACACAUGCUUACAGUAUCAUUUGAAUGACAACAGUGAGAGUGCGACAUUAACGAAUAUAUCUUUACAAUAAUAUUGUGUAAAAGUUGAAUAUCAAAGUAUAUAUACAAACCGCCACGAAACCUAUGACCCAAGUUUCUACUAAACUACGUCAAUAAACAAAGAAGAUGGCUUACCUGCAUUAGCUGUCGUAUGAGUGUUUAUCUUAAUAAACAAUAACGCGUUACGCAUGUAUUUUCUCUUGGCCAAAACCGCAAGAACGUGUUACUGAAGUCAUAGAAACUUUUUAUAGAUUUGUCAAAAGAUGCAAAUAAGUGCCGUGAUAAGAAGUUUUAAGAGAAUAACGGCACUCUAAAAUGAUUAUCGUUGAAACAUGUAGAUAGAUGAAUAGGUCCAUUUGUUUAUAUAUUUAUUCUAUUUUAUUAAUUAAUGAAAUCCUUUUGUCAAUUGAAAGAUGAUGAAAAGACAACUUAGUAUUCUAUUACACACAAAAAAAAUGAUGGGUAAUAAUGUAAUUUCACAGGUUCAAAUUUUAUUGUUUUUUAUUGAAGCCUCUCACCUACAUAUGAUGUUAAAAUAUCUCUAAUAUUUAAAAUUAAAAAAAAAUCACCCCACUUUCUCUCUCUCCCUCUGUCCUUCUCAUUUUCUAAAAAAAUGUGUUCAUACACAUAAAAUGUGUAGGCAAAUGUUAGUAUAUAUUUAUUAAAACAUAUACUUAUAUAUGUUCCUCAACAAAGAAAAUAAAGAAAGAAAGAGUGCAAAAUGGUUAUAUUAGACUGCUAAAAACGAUCGUUCUUUAAUUUUGAGCUGACUCUAAUUGAUAUGCAGCUCCAAUAAACAAGGCAACUCGUGAAUUCAGGCCGAUGGAAGAAUACAAGUAGAUUCCUCCACUUUUAUAACAUGUGAGAUACCCUUUUGAUUUUGAAUAUGGAGGUGGAUUGUCCGCCCUCCCAUUUUCAUACUUUUUUCAUCCCCUUCUGUUUGUGUGGUCACGAUUAAAUCACGUCAACAUUUUAUAUUGAUUAUUUUUAUAAAAAUAAUAAAACAAACAGUGAUAGAAAUAUAAAAUGUUGACAUGUUUUAACCGUAACAACACAAAAUAAAAGAGAAUGGAAAAAAUAUGAAAAUAGGAGGGCAGACAAUCCACCUCCUUUGAAUAUCUAGCACUUGGAAAAAAUUUCUUCAACAUUUGGGAGUUCGUGCAUUCCUGAUCCUUGCACUGUCGUUUGGGCAUUCUGUUGGUCCGUUGGUCAUGGACUCACCAUUUGGUUUAUUGGCCCGCUUCCCAACAAUGAUUAGUACAUGAUUGAUUAAGAUUAAGUGGGGAAAUAUGGGAUACAAUUAUUCAGCUGAGGUCUCUUGGGGUUUCAAAUUUGAUAUGAAAUGACAUACAUCGUCUUGACCGACUAAUCUAACUCAUAUUUAUUGUAUGCACACGCUUUAAAUCAUUUGAACAAGACACCUUAGUUCAAUUAAAAUUAAGUGGGUUUCUAAUGAAGAUUCUAAAGAGAGAAAAGAAAUGAUUUUGCAAAUGAUCUCAUUUGGUAAUUUUCCAAACAAAUCAUCUGCUUUUUCUAUCACCAUAUUUAAAUUUGACUAGUUUUAGCAGAGACCAAAAAUGGAUACUGAUCCUCUCUGGAUCUGAGCCUAGGGAUCAAUAGAUCCGGACCAUUGAAAUUUGAUCCAACGGCUACAAACAGGAGGACUCCUUAAAAGUUAUAAUAAUUGUAACUGUUGAAUCAAAUUUUAAUAAUCCGGAUCUAUUAAUCCCGAGGAUCUAUGACUAUGUCCACCAAAAAAUGACUAGAAAUUGUACUACAAUCGUACUUGUUAAUUCUUGUACUUAAAAGAGUUGCAUGUUCCUUGAUGUCUAGGUUGUUGUUAGGGGGGGUCCUUCUGUAUCGUUUUCAGUCCAAUUAUUAGAAAAUUUGCAUUUAAAUAUUAGGACCAGAUCCAUGAUAUUGAUCACUAUAGUUAUAUUAAAAAUUUAUUUGUAAGGAUAAGGAAGACUUGAAAAUAUAGAUAGAUUUGGGUUUUAACAAUAAGUUUAGUUGGAAAAAUCAUAACCUUCAAUAUUAAGGUUUUUUUUUUUUUUUUUUAAAUGGUUUUCAAAAACUUAACAUCAUAUACUCUCAACACGCACUCUCACAUAUGACAUUGUUUAACCCUAAUACAUGGUGUUGGGUGAUUUGAGAGCGCAUGCAUUCAUAAUCUCUUUUAAUGCUAUGUUAGAAUGCAAACUUCCAACUCAAAAUCAAUUAACAAUAGGUUUUUUAGCCAAAAUGGUCCCUGUGAUUUGCAUAACACAUCAUUUUGGUCUCUAAGAUUGAAAAUCAAUAGAAAUGGUCUCUGAUAUUGUCCACCAUCUAUUAUUUUGAUCAUUUCGUUAAAAACUCCGUUAAGUGUCUCGGAGCUCUUGGCCGAAAGUUUGGACAAUUUUCAAAGCUUCAUAACUCAAUUGUUUCUUAACCAAAUUCGACGCAUAAUAUAUCAAAAUGAAGAUUGGAACGUGUAGAACAAGAUUAUACCUAUUUGGAAGGCUAAUUGUUGGCGAAGAUGGCCGAAAAUAGCCUGAAAAGUGAUUGUUCUGCGGGAAAACGGGAAAACUCGCCGGAAACUGGGUAAACUUUAAACGUUUAUAACUUCUUCAAUACUCAAUGAAAUCGAGUGAUUCAAAACAAAAAUCAUACUUCUCGACGAGAUAAAGAGAAUGAUACCUUUAUGGAUGGCUAAAUCGUUGUGUUUUGGCCAGAAAAUGGCUGUCUUGGUCUUGAGUUAGCCACUUUUGAGCCCUUUUUUGGCCAAACCACAGUGAAUUAACCAUCAAUAAAGGUACCAUUAUCUUCGUCUCAUUUAGAAGUAUGAUUUUUGUUUUUGAAUUACUCGAUUUCGUUGAGUAUUGAAGAAGUUAUGAACGUUUAAAGUUUACCCAGUUUCCAGCGAGUUUUCCAGUUUUCCCGCGGACCAGUCACAUUUCAGGCUAUUUUUCGACCAUCUCUGGCAACCAUUGGGCUUCCAAAUAGAUAUAAUCUUGUUCUAAACUUUCCUAUCUUCAUUUUGAUAUAAUAUGGGCUAAAUUUAGUUAAGAAACGAUUGAGUUACAAAGAUUUGAAAAUUACCCAAAUUUUCGGCCAAGAGCUCCAGGAUAUUUAACAGAGUUUUUAACGGAAUGACCAAAAUAAUGGAUGUAGACAAUUUCAUGGACCAUUUCAAUUGAUUUUCAAUCUCAUGGACCAAAGUGAUGUGUUAUGCAAAUCUCAUGGACCAUUUUAGCUAAAAAGCCUUAACAAUAAUAAGUUGAGAGUUGACCAUUAAAACUUAUCUGGAAGGCUUUUUACUUUCCAGAUUUGUAGUCCGUUUUCUUAACAGUUAGCAAUAUAUUUAGCAGUGUUACACAUGAAGUAAAUCUCACACCUGACCUGAUUGGAGUCUAAGGUUUACAACUAUAUUAUCUUUACAAUUAAUUAAGCCAAAAAAGUUGAAUAAGCUAACCUGCGGAUGCAGUUGAGUGACUCCACACUAUGUUACAUUUACAAUUAAUUAUCAAAUCUCUUCUUUGAAUUCAGUUUUAUAGAUAUAUAUUUCCCAUAAAUUCAAGCGAAACCAUGACCUAAAUUUGGCACAUUACUUGAAGAAAUUAAACAAAUAAAAGAAAAACAUAGCUGCAACGAAAAUGUUCCCAUUAACUAUACGUACGCAUGUGUAGAUAUGUUGAUCAAUCAACAAAUAACCAAAACGUUAAGCAUGCAUUUUCAAUAUGAGUAUAAAAGAAAAUAGUUUUUUAUUUAUUUAAACACCAUAUUUUAUCUAAGUUCACUACACCACUUAUAAAUUAUUUUAACUUUUAAUUGUGUGAAAAGACGAAAGAAGACACACCCCAUAAACCCUAAUCGUUCAUCUUCUUCCCCCAACAUAGAACACGAUCAUUCAACUAGGAUAAUUGUUGGGUCUAUGGAUAUAGAUAAUUCAAGUGACAUUUGGGCUUUAUACCAUGAUCUCAAGCUUUCGUGGGAUCACAAAAUCUUCAUAUUGUUGGUUAGGCUAACACUCUAUGUAGAGCUGGAACGCUUGCUAUCAUCAAAUCUUGCCUAGCAGGCCUAAUCAAACCAUGGCUAGCCUUAAAUGUCCUCUUAAGAUUACAGCUGCUAUAAAUAAAGAGAGGAUCCUCGCCGAAUCCUCUUUGUGAGAAUCCCGAGGAUCCUUUAAUUAUAUAUGUUCAUCGUACAUCAUGCAGUCAAUUUUUGUCAGGUACUGUUUAUAUUCAAUUUUAAAUAAAAAAAAUUUACAAUGAUUUCUGACUGUACAAUAUACGAUGAACAGAUGUGAUUGGAGGAUCCGGCGAGGAUCCUCCUAGAUAAAUAAAGAGAGUAGGAAAUUUCUUUGGAGUAAAAAUUUCAAACUUUUGCCACUUAAUACUACGGUAGUAUGGUCUGGUGGUAUUCCUCUUCAUUGGUAAGUGAGAUGUCUUAGGUUCGAUUCUCGCCAAAGGCGAAUUUGAACCACAGUAUUGCUAGCUCAUCAUGAAGCUUAGCCAACCCCUUUUCCUUAGUGUAGAUAAUAUCGAUUGUUCAAAAAAAAAAUUCAAACUUUUCUCCAGUUGCCUGGAAUGAUGUUUGUAUGCCUAAAUAUUGGGGGGUUCAGGGAUUAGAAAAGAUGAGCACUUUAGUUUGGCUUUCUUCACCAAAUUGGUCUGGAAAAUCUUAACUAUUGAAAACAAUUGGUGGUUCAGGUUGACACACCUCGAUCCCGAUAUUUAGUAGCACCAAAACCAAAACAUGCUGGCCCGAAUGAAUGAUGUAGUCGUAAUAUACAUGAAAAUAUAACUAAAAUUAUCGACUAAUAAAUCUACCGAAAAUUUGACAAAACUUUCCCCAAAAAUAAGAAUAAGCCCAAUUUUCAACACAUCUCCAAAGGGCCACACUUAAUAGGUUGCAGCCCUCUAUUACAUGCAUAAUAAUAUGUUCAGAGCAUAUUUGCCAAAAUAUGAGUUCUUCUAGUAAAGUUGAGUAGAUAACAUGCCUGGUAAGAAUGUGCAGAACUUUGGGAUGAGGCCUCAACGUCGAAUAUGCCAAUUACAACAGAUUCCAAUCUUAUACUCUAGUCGUAGCUAGUGUAAAUGUAAGUUGGAUAAUGUAAUCAUGUCAUUACUAAGUAGUCUCAAAGUAAUGAUAAGCUGAGUAUAUCGUAUAAGUUGGAUGCCAUGUUCGUAGACAAGCAUAGCAUCUAUCAUACACGCGUAAGCUAAGUGUCAUGUCUAUAGACAAGUUGAGUAUAUAUCAUACACGAUAAGCUGGAUAUCAUGUCUGUAAGCAAGCUGAGUAUAUAUCAUGCACGUGUAAGCUGAAUGUCAUGUCCAUAGAUAAGUUGAGUAUAUAUGAUACACGUGUAAGCUGGAAAUCAUGUGCAUAUACAAGCUGAAUAUAUAUCAUACACGUGUUGUAGGGCCUAUUUAAUUGAUAAAUCAUAGAGCAUGAGUGAAAGAGAUGUGCCGGCAAUGAGAGAGAGUUUGUUGUAAUACUGGGGGUGUGUAUUAUUUCACCAUGUUGUGCCUUUAUUUAUAGUAGUAGGGAAGGUAAAAUCAUUACCCAAUAUGUAGGAUUUACACAAACACAUCCCUAACCUAAUCUAGACUGCAAUAGUGUAUAAUUUUUAUGGAAAAACAUGAUUUUCUAUUGAUUUUGAAUUUUCUUCCAUGAGGUGGUGAAUAUAAUUUAUCUUUUAGUAUUUUCAAUACCACAAAUAUUAGUUUUAUUUAAAAUCUCAUUAAUAUAAAGAACUACAAAUUUCAAUUUUAAAUUAAAAAUGUAUUAACCGAUAUGGAAAUACAUUAAUAUCAAAGUCUUCAAUCAAAACUUGAAAACUAAUGAGAUUUCAGUCUAAGAAUAUUAGUGGAUAGGGGACUGCGUCCAAAUUAAUUUUUAUUUUAUGAUUACAAAAAGAACAAGACUUGACUGCUGAAUUUUCAGCAGCCACUCUUGCUUACAUCCAAUCCCGUGUAGACACAUGUCCAAAAUUUAAUUAGGGAUUGGAUGUAAGCAGGAGUGAUUAUUGAAUUGUUUAGCAGCCAAGUUAAUUCCUUACAAAAAUCCUUCAUAAGCCCAAACACAACAUAAGCCUCAUAUCAGCCGGCCCAAAAUCUGAAGCUUAAGCCCAAAUCACUACUUUUAACCUUCAAUACGACGUCGUACCUAUGGACCACGUUUACCUCCGUUUUCAAUACAAACGGAAACCUCAGGCCAACGCCUCUAGGCUUUUGGCGGCUUGGCCCCUCUUCGCUUUCUUCCUCCUCAGAGUCGGUGAAAGCCAUUACUUUCGAAGGAGUUGCAGAGAUGGUUUUGUCUAACAGAAAGCUGAAGCAAAAGCUAAGAGAAAAACUAGCUCAAUCGUUAGUUGAAACUGUAGCGAAGCCUAAAACCGACCCGACAAAUGAUGGGUCGGAAAAUCCGGACCCGAAAUCGACCCCCCGGUCGCUGAAAGUGCUUCUGGACUCCGCAACCCAGAAACCCAGAUUGUCCAAGCGGGAAAAACGCAGAAAGAUCCUGUCCUUGCGAGGUCCAGAGGUGGUCAGUGUGAAUGACAGUGGUGGUAGUUUGGGGGGAAACAAGGGGGAGGAAGGGAAGAUGGAUGUGGGUUCAGAGGGUUUAGGGGUUGAGAAGAAGAAGGAGGAGGAGAAGAAGAGGAAGAGAGACGAUGAGGAGGAAAAGGAUGGAGAUUUGAGUGCAGAGGAAAAUGGGGUUGUGAAGAAGGAGAGUAAGAAGCCAAAGAAGAAGAGUAAAACGAAGAAGAAGAAGAGAAAGACUGGGGCGAAAACCGAGGAAGAGAAGAAGGGUGGUGAGGUUGGGAAUGGAGAGCAAGUUGUCCAGGAAACAGAUAUAAACAUUGAUAGGUGAUUUUUGACUGAACCCCUUUGCUCAAUUUGAAUAUUUGCAUAUCUGAUUUUGAGUAGGAGUCUGACUGAUAGUGUAUUAUGGGAGGAAAUGUGGAUUGAAGGUGUCUGCUAUCUGUGUGAAAUUUUCGGUAGUUUUUGCCUCAUUCUGUUUGUUGUUUCGUUUCGUUUAGGCAAGCGAGUGGGGAUGUUCCGACAAAAGUUUAUGUGGGAGGCAUUCCUUAUUACUCGACCGAGGAUGAUAUUCGAAGUUACUUUGAAAGCUGCGGUACGAUAACUGAAGUUGAUUGUCUGAGGUUUCCCGACAGCGGGAAGUUUAGAGGAAUUGCUAUUAUUAGCUUUAAGGUAAGAAAUUGUGAAUUAAAAUCUGCAUUCGAACUUUAUAUUAGAAAGUUGUGUGUUUCAGUCCUUGCUAAUGUAAUUUGGAAAUGAUAGUCUCUUCACAACCUGAUGAAUCAAAGAUUUCCCACCACUAGAAAAGUUUACUUCGUAAUGUCACUAUUGUGUAUCAAUAAAUGGAUGUUAAAAUAUCACUGGUCAGCAUGUUUUUUAAUAUAUCUUGGAAGUUAUAGUUUGCUUCCUGGUUUCUCCAGUUUGGACUUGAGAUAUGCGAGUAUUCAGAUUGUCGGUAUUGAAUUUUAAAAUUAUGUCUCCCUUAAACUUCUGCUUUCGCUAGUUGAUGUGCCUUAGUCUACCUCAAGAAGUUAUAUGUAUACCUUGCAAGAGUUCAUCGGUUAAUCACAAUAGGUUAAUUGCUCAACCAUGAUUGGCAUAAAGGUUAAUCAAAAUAUACCCCGCUUGGUAGCUGAUCUGCCUAGCUUCAAUUUUAUAAGACCUCCAGCAUGGUGGAAGUUAGUGACUUAAUCUGUGGUAGGAAUAAACAAUAUCACACAAGCUCUGAUUAAUUUAUGCUAUUCUUUUGUUUUUCGAUGAUUAGUGUUAUUCAUCAUUAAAUAUGAAUAUAUUCCUUUAAAGAUAGACCGACUUUGAAAAAUUGCUAGAAAUCAAAAUGAGGAGGAUGUUGAGAGUCUGAAUACUUUCCAAAUCUUAGGUCAUGCUAUAUACAAGAUUGUUUAUCGUAGUCUCAUCUUAACAUGCUUAUGUUUUUACAGACAGAAGCAGCAGCUAAGCGUGCUUUGGCUCUUGAUGGAGCUGAAAUGUGAGUUUGGACAAUGUUCUCUGUAGUUUCUUAACUUGCUGUUGUAAGGUAGUUUUCCAGGUAUCACAUGAUUCUAACGAAACUUCUUAUUACCUCAGGGGUGGACUGUUUCUGAAAAUCCAGCCAUACAAGGCAACUCGACCCAAUAAACCAAAUAAAGUAUCUGAUUUUGCCCCCCAAAUUGUGGAGGGAUACAAUAGAAUCUAUGUUGGAAAUUUGUCAUGGGAUAUUACUGAGGAUGAUCUAAAGAAACUUUUCUCAGAUUGCAAGAUAUCAUCUAUACAUUUUGGUAUGGAUAAGGAAACAGGGGAAUUUCGAGGUUAUGCUCAUGUAAAUUUCUCUGAUAGUCUCUCGGUGACGAUGGCAUUGAAGCUAGAUCAGAAGGUUGUAUGUGGAAGACCUGUCAAGAUAAGCUGUGCAGUUCCUCUGAAAAAAGCAGGGACUCCUUCAACUCCUGCACUUACAACACCAAGUACCCAUUCAACAUCUGUAGCUUCAGCUAUGACUACUGAUUCCAUACCCUUAAAUACUCCUUUAGGUACAGAGGCUGAUGACGGUGGGUUGAGUGCCAGUAAGAUUAAGAGGAGGACGUGCUAUGAGUGUGGUGAGAAGGGCCAUCUUUCUUCGGCUUGUUCAAAGUCUGCAACUACAAUAUUAAGUACCCAUUCAAUACCACUAGCUACAACUACCAGUACUGAUCCGACACCAGUUGCUACAGAGUCAGGUAAAGGAGCUGAUAAUGGUGGGUUGAGUGCCACCAGUGGUAAGAUUAAGAGGAGGACGUGCUAUGAGUGUGGUGAGAAGGGUCAUCUUUCUUCAGCUUGUCCAAAGUCUGCAACUACAGCUUUUAAUACCCAUUCAACACCAGUAGCUAAAACCACAAGUACCGAUCCGACACCAGUUGCUACAGCUACAGGAGCUGAUAAUGGUGGGUUGAGUGACAUCAGUGGUAAGAUUAAGAGGAGGACGUGCUUUGAGUGUGGUGAAAAGGGUCAUCUUUCUUCAGCUUGUCCAAAGGCUGGUACUACACCUUCAAGUACCCAUUCAAUUCCAGUAGCUACAGUUACAAGUACCAGUCCAAUACCAGUAGCUACAACUACAAGCACCACUUGGAUACCAGUUGCUACAACAAGCAGCACCAAUUUGCCACCAGAUGAUACAACUACAGGCACCGGAGCUGAUACUAGUGGGUUGAGUGCGAGCAUUGGUAAGAUUAAGAGGAGGACGUGCUAUGAAUGCGGUGAGAAGGGACAUAUUUCUUCAGCUUGUCCAAAGUGCAAGUUAAGCAUGUCACCUGCAGGCAGUAUCCCAAGUUUUUCCUAUUAAUUACGUUUAGGAUAAAUAUAUAUGGUACUCUUUUCGAGUAGGUUGUUGAAAAGCCACAAGUUGUUAGUGAGUCCAAUUUUGGGAAAUUUUGUUUUCUCCAUUUAGCUUAGUUUGAGGCAAAGAUUUGUAAAACUGAGAUAUUUCUUUCUUAUUGAUAAGGCAGAUUAUGUUACUUGCUUGACCUCUCCAUGUCAAAGCACAUUGUGUUUCUUGUUAAAACUAAAUGUAAGACGAGGUGACAAAGGGUUUGUAGUUCAAACGGUUAAGUGAUAAUGAGUAUAUUGAUCCAUGCAUUCGAGGUCUUGUGUUUGAAUCCUAAGUCUUGAAAACUAAACACUAGGCAAUACUCGACAUCGUGUCCACUCCAAUCCUAACCUAACUUGUUUGAAAUACGACGGCCGAUCCAAUCCUGUCCACCAAACGUGUCUUUUACUUCAGUGCAAUGCUAGCUCCAUCUUGUGUUCGAAAGUAAUUGAAAUGAGGUGGAGAAAGCGUCGGGUUUGGUUCAAAAGUAUCACUCCAAGCGGGGGACAAACGAAAAAAGAACAACGUGCGAGUUGGGUAUGUUCCAUUUACUUUGACAAGUACGACAUAUAACUGGCUACCGCUAUUUCACUUUGUAGUCACUAAAUGGUUGAAUGACCAUACUUAAAGAACAUAUAACAAUUCAUGAUACAUUUUUUUUCUUAUGCACGUCCUUAUUAUUUAUGCCCCUUAUGUCCCUUAAUUUUUCUUUGUUAUGUUCGAUUCAAAUGAUAAAAAUCAUUUGCCUAGAAGAAAAUAAAAGGUAUGCGUACACCAAUUCCCUGAGUGAAUCUCAAUUGGUAGUGUGUAAAGUAGAAGAUUUCUAUUGAUAGCGAAAUAAAUAAUAGAAAGACCUUCUGAACUUAAACACGAGUUUUGAUUCAGUUUUAAUGAGGCAUGUGUAAUACGUGUUAUUGAAGACAUUAAGAGACCAAAAGUAACGGUGAAAAGGGAUCACGUGCAGUGCACAUAUUAUUUUUGGAUAGAAGUUUGAAAAUGAUUAGUGUUAGGUUGACACAUUCGAAUAUUGAAAAAUCUAUCAGCACCUGUCAUAAGUAACAAAUUAAAAAUUUGUUUGAAGUAAGACAUGUGUAUUUUAAAGAUAUAAAUGAGUCAAAAAUACCCUUCAAAUGAAGCCGUCUACAAUGCGCAUACUUUUCUUCUCAAACAAACUCGACAUUGUAAAUUAAUUUUUAACAACGUGUUGUAUAUUUCCUGUUUCUUGUUUUAAAAGUAAUUAACUUUUAGCAUGAAAUUAAACAAAACAAAACAUGAUAAGUAGGCAACUGCUCGUUCAACAACCAAGUCUUAUUACGGCCAGAUGUUUUGAUAGUACAUCACGUUUUUCGUGAUGAUUGUCUCCUUUACAUGUCUAGUUUGAAUCAUCUUUGUCACAACUUGGAAUUUAUGUAUAUGAUCAAAAUUUAUUACAUAAAAUGAUGGAUAUAAUUUGGUUAAUUACGCAAAAUAUAUUAUGAUGAAGUAUGUAUUAAUAGGGGUUUGAGUGUUUUAAUUGACAAAUAAAUCAUUCAGAUAUAGCAUAAACUUUGUUAUUGUGUACAUCGUAAAUGAGAAGGUGUUUAGCUCAAAUAAUAGUAAAAACUUAUUAUGGGUUGGCUUUAAGAGCAUUUUUACUCAUAUAUUAAGAGGUCUCGUAUUUGGAUCUCUCUCAUGCAUAUGAGGUCUUGAACAAGGUCAAACGCUUUUCUCUAAUUAUUAUUCACUCAUGCAUUCGAGAUUUUGUAUUCAAAAUAUUUAAAAUGAGACAAGGCUUGGAACUGCAUAUUGCAGGAUGCAAUUUUUUUCUUCCACUAUUUUAAAAGCUAGUAACUAAAAUACAAUGAAUCUAAUUUGGUUAGGGCUGGAGUCCAACCCGAAAGUACAUCAAGGAUUAAAGAACGUCUUAAAGCUCGCCUCUUUGCUUUCUUAAAAAGAAAAGUGGACUAUGCAAUAAGAGGCUCAACCAUAAGCCUGAGGCAUAAUAAAAUCAGUAUGAGUAUAUUUAUUAAUAUAUGUACAAUUGUUUUAUUUAUGAUAUAAAAUAUGUAAAUUCUCAAUUGGUAGGGUGUUAAAAUAGAAGGUUGUAUGUAGAAAGAAGCCUCUUGGCAAGGGGAUUUUUGCUUCAGUGAUUAAGAGUAUCCACCUUGAAUUCAAGGUUUCGAGAUUGAUUUUUAUUUUAAGUGAGGUAUGCACAUCACUUUUUAUUAAGAUAUUAAAUCAGCCCAUUCCCUCAAAAAGAAGUCACUUGCAUUGCACAUGUAAUUUUUGUACAAACCUAAUGUCAGGAGACACGUUUUAAAGACUGAAAAAUCGAGGCGGGAUCUCUUCUAAACUUUUCUUUAAGGUAAUAGGUGAAAUUUGUGUUUGAAAUUCCUUUUAAAAAAAAAAAACUAAUAAUUAAGAUUUUCCAAACACCAAAAUUAUCAUAGUUGAAAAAAAUUAACCUCCUUUUCUACUUCUCUAUGCUAUUUUGUUGGUGAAAGAAACAGCUUGGCAAAGAAUUUUGCUGCCUAGUUGGUCAAGAACAUAACCAAGUUCAAUUUUCCUUCUUCUAAUAUCUCAACCGCUUGAACUUCUACAAAAAAAAUUUAUGCGUUUUAAACAAGGCAUGUGCACUACGUGUUACUGAGACAUUAAAAGAAUAAGAAUUCAUUUGCAUUGCACCAGUAACUUUUUGAAUGGACCUAGCAUCAGAUGACACGUUUUGAAGACGGAAAAACCGAGGUGAACUCCCACUCAAAUUUUUCUUUAAGGUAACAAAUUGAAAUUCGUCUCUAUAGUUUUUCUUUUGAAAAUCUAAUAAUUAAGAUUUUCCAUACCCAAAAUUAUCAUAACUAUAUUGCAAAAUCUUCUUUUAACCUCGUUAAUUUUCUUCUUCUUCUUCUUAUUUUGUUGGUGAAAGGGGUUGUCACUUAGCUGCUUAAGAUCAUCAUUCUGCACCUGAGGUCCCAACUUCGAUUCUCCCUCAUCCAAUAUCGUUUGGUUAACCAAAAAGAAAAGAAAUUGUCUGAACCAUUACAUGAAUUUUGAUUCAUUUUAAGUGAGGCAUGCACGCCGCGUGUUAUCAAGACAUUAAAACCAGUUGAUUCCCUUGAAAAGAAGUCACGUGCACUACGCAUGUAACUUUUUUGAAUUAACCUAGAGUCAAGUGACACGUUUCGUAUGCGGAAAAACCGAAGGCGAAAUCUCUUUUAGAUGUUUGUUUAAGGUAACAAAUUGAAAUUCGUCAUUAUAAUUUCCUUUUGAAAAUAUAAUAAUUAAAUAUUUUCCAUACACCAAAAUUUUCAUAAUUGCAAAAGCUUCUUUCAACCAUUUUUUUUCUUCAUGUUCUGUUGGUGAAAAGGAAAAGGGUAAAUCGUCAAAAUGGUCCAUCAGAUUUGCAUAAUUCAUCACUUUGGUCCCUGAGAUUCCAAAUCGAUAAAAGUGGUCCCUAAGAUUGUCCACCAUCCAUCAUUUUGGUCAUUCCGUUAAAAACUUCGUUAAGUGUUCCGGAGCUCUUGGCCGGAAGUUUGGGCAAUUUUCAAAGCUUCGUAACUCAAUCGUUUCUUAACCAAAUUCGACCCAUAAUAUAUCAAAAUGAAGAUACGAAAGUGUAGAAUAAGAUUAUACCUAUUUCAAAGCCCAAUGGUUGCCGGAGAUGGCCGGAAAAUAGCUUCAAAGUUGACUGGUCCGAGUGAAAACUUGAAAACUCGCCGGAAACUGCGUAAACUUUAAACGUUCAUAACUUCUUUAAUACUCAACGAAAUCAAGUGAUUCAAAAAUGAAAAUCAUACUUCUCGACUAGAUGAAGAGAAUGGUAUCUUUUUAGCGGCUAACUCGCCGUGGUUUGGCCGGAAAAUGGCUCGAAAGUGGCUAACUCGAUACCAAGACAACCACUUUCGAGCCAUUUUCCGGUCAAACCAUGGCGAUUUAGCCAUAAAAAAAAAAAAAAAAGAGGUACCAUUCUCUUUGUCUCGUCGAAAAGUAUGAUUUUUGUUUUUGAAUCACUUGAUUUCGUUGAGUGUUGAAGAAGUUAUGAACGUUUAAAGUUUACACAGUUUCCGGCGAGUUUUCAAGUUUUCACUAGGACCAGUCAACUUUGAGGCUAUUUUCCGGUAAUCGCCAGCAACCAUUGGGCUUCGAAAUAGUUAUAAUCUUAUUCUACACUUUCCUAUCUUCAUUUUGAUAUAUUAUGGGUCGAAUUUGGUUAAGAAACGAUUGAAUUACGAAAUUUUGAAAAUUGCCCAAACUUUCGGCCAAGAGCUCCAGGACACUUAACGGAAUUUUUAACGGAAUGAUCAAAAUGAUGGAUGGUGGACAACCUCAGGGACCACUUUUAUCGAUUUAGAAUCUCAGGGACCAAAGUGAUGAGUUAUGCAAAUUUCAUGAACCAUUUGACGAUUUACCCAAAGAAAAAAGAUAUAAUACAUAGACACACAGAGAGCGAAAAAAGGAGGGAGUCGGAAGUCUUUCAUCUCAUGUCCAGAAACGUAAAUAUAUAUUCAUUGUCUUUGCUGCAUUGUAUGCUCGCUACCAAACCGCGUCACUUGCAAUCUCCAACCUUCUCCUUCACGUAUUUUUCUUCAACUUAUAUAUAUUCUCACUGCAUGCUUUGAAAUCCAACAAAAUUAAAUAUAAAAAAAAAAAUUAACACCAUUAAUACCGCAAAUAUCACAUGUAUUUAUACACAAAGCUACAAACUUUCAUCCCUUUAAGCCAAACCAUCUUCUCCCAUACACAAACAUCAUGUUCUUUCUGUUCAUCAUCUCUGUUUCUCUCGCAGGCUUCAAAUUUGAGGUUUCUGGCUGAUGGGUUUUCUCUGAAUUGUGUGGGAUUCUUAAUUCUUUGAUUUUCUUGGCUGACAAACACUUUGGAGUUUGUUGGUGUUGCUUUUGAGUUUUUGAAAUGGGACCCAUCAGAGGGUCCAGGAAGAAGAAGAAGGUUGACCAGAAUGUGGUAGCUGCUUCAGAAUUCCAGCCCCUGGAAUGUUGGUGGGACGGCUUCUCUCAGAGAAUUACUGGUACAAAUAUUCUUCUGCUGCUGCUUCUGUGUUUUCGCAUAUCUUUCUACUUUGGUUGUUUUGUUGGUUAAUUUGUUUUAAUGGGUUGUCUUUAAAUAUAUUCAUUUAUAAUUGGUUUGGAUAUAUAGGUUUGUUGUUUAUGAGAGCAUUUCUUAUGAUUUAUUUGUAUUUUGGAUGAAGUAUUAGGACUUGGGUUCAAUGCAGUUUUCAGAAAUUGGACAUGUGUGUUGUGACUAGUGAUUCAUAUCUGCAAGUGGAUUUCUGGUGGUAUAUCUUACAGUCUUACAGUUCUUAGCUUCUGUUGAUUUGUGUUAUCGAGCUUUUGUUUUGUGUACUCGUUGAUGUUUCUCACAGCAUAGUAUUCCUAGUUUGAUGAUUACUGAGGACAUUGUUUUAGGUUUUAUGCAUUAUUCCUUCCAUUAAAUUUAUGGGUCGUACCAAGUGCACAAGGCUCCCGCUUUACGCAGGGUCUGGGAGAGGUGAAUGUCGGCUAGCCUUACCCCCAUUUAUGGAGAGGCUGCUCCCAAGUCUCGAACCCGAGACCUACCGCUCAUGGGCGAAGGCACUUGCCAUCGCACCAAGUGUGACCUCUUCCUUCCAUUAAAUUUAUGAUGCCAAUAAAUAACUUAGUCAACGAUUUCCUUAUUUGUAAUUCUCGUUGAUAGAUAAGUUAUUGGUCAUUUGUUGAUUUCUUAUUUUAAUGCUUCUCUUAGACAAUCCUGUUAGUGUUAAUGAUAGCAGUUUGUUCUAAGCAUGUGUUGAAUGUUUAAAACAGGCUGCAUCUAGUUCUCAGUUACUAGAAUGUGGUAUUGUAUUAUGAAUGUUCUUCAUUUUCUUGUGCAUUAAACUCAGUUCCUCAUUGUGAGCAUACCUGAUCUUCAGAUUAGAUUCAGAAUAACCUGCUUGUAUCUCGACCGCUCCUUAUUUAGUUACAAAACAUUUAGUCGUACCCAGUGCAUAAGGCUCCCGCUUUACGCAGGGUCUGGGAGAGGUCAAUGUCGGGGUCUCUUGGUGUUAGAUAUUCCAGUGUCGUGCUACUGCCUAAGAACAAUACUCGAAUAUGUUUGGAUGGGGGGGGGGUCACUAUGAUUGGUAAAGUAUCUGUACUGAUUUCUUGAUCCUAAAUCUUAUUGGAACUUUUGUGGUUAGCAUAAUAAUUCUCUUCAGAGUACAUUUUUCCUUUUGGACUGACCUAAACCAGUAAAAAGGUCGUACCCAGUGCACAAGGCUCCCGCUUUACGCAGGGUCUGGGAGAGGUGAAUGUCGGCUAGCCUUACCCCCAUUUAUGGAGAGGCUGCUCCCAAGUCUUGAACCCGAGACCUACCGCUCAUGGGCGAAGGCACUUGCCAUCGCACCAAGUGCGACCUCUACUGACCUAAACCAGUACUGUAAAAAAAUUGAAACAAAGUGAGUGGACUGAUCCGAAAAACACUUGUAGGCGUAAUGGCUGAGUAAACAAUAGCAGACGAAGAACAAUCAGGCACCUAGUGUUUUGUUUUGGUUGUGUAGUGGCCUCAGAUGACAUGAUUAGGUUCGCAAAUUUCAUAGCUUAGUUGAAGAGCAUCUUUUCUGAUGAUAUGCUGAUAGAAAUUGGGCUCCUUAGACUAUAGAGGUUAAUCUAUUAGUUUCAAGUUCUGUCAACUCGUAGUAGCUUUUGAUUGUUUUGAUUUCUUUGUUAAAAAACUAUACAAACCGAUGUCCUUAAAAGUGCAGACAUCUAUGUGCUUUCCUCAUGAAAUAAAAAAUGCAGACUUCUUAAUGAAGUCUUUCCAAUUUCAUAAGAGAUAGCUUUCGUGAUGAGCAUAUGUUUCUUCUUUUCUGCUAUGUCAACCAUUUAGGGGGAUCCGUUGUGAGAAGCACUACGGUACCUUGGUCUGAUUAGGUGGAAGAGAUUAAGUACAUAGCCACACAACUAAAGCUUGUUUGCUCACCAUAAGAUGAGCAACAGUCGUCCAAAAUGCUAGCGUCUGUAUGCUUAUUUGGAUAAAGUAGGUAGCCUAAACAUUAAAAAUGAAACAAAAAUAGCUUUGAGAAGAACAUGUUAUAGGAGUUAAAGGCCAUUCCAUUAGGCGAUAAUCACUAAAUAAGUUUGGGAUCAAGUAAGAAGUAAAAAAAAAACAAGCAAGUCAUCUGACUUUGUUUUUUGGUGUCCGUUUAGUGUCUAGUCUACAAGUGUGCACAUUGUCAUUUAUUCAUGAUUUUUGUGUCUGCAGUCUUUCUCGUUAAGAAACAUAGGUCCACCUACUAGUUGUGCAACCGAAAGGCAUAAGAUUUUGGCGAUUUGAUUAUACCUUACACCUACCACUGAAAGAUUAACUUUCCAGCUUUUGUAUGUGAAAUGUCUUCUAUCUUAUGAUCUAGCUUUUGAAGGAAAUAUAGUAAUUAUGACGGCAUAGUUCUCUCCAGUGGUUAAGGAGUUCAAAUAUAUUUUCGGCUUUGCUUGCAUUUGAUGAUUAUUCAGACUAUACUACUUCGCUAACUCUUGCGGUUAAAUGAAUUCUAUCCUAUUUGCAUAGGUUUUCUGAUCUUCUGGUUCUGCCAUGGACAAUGACAUAAAGGUUCUAAAAUUCACAAUGAUAAAUGAUUGUAUUUUGUUUUCUACUUUCUAGGUCAAUCGAAAUCUAAAGGUGUAUUGAAAUUUGAAUCUUUCUUCAAAUUUUCGGGAAAGACAUUCAGCUACAUCUGUUCACUUGUAAAGGAAGAUAUGAUGGCCAGGUCCUCAACCUUCUGCUACUCGAAUGGCAAGCCUGUGUGUCUAAAUGACCAAGUUGCUAUUGCUCUUAGGAGGCUUAGCUCCGGUGAUUCAUUAUGCAGCAUUGGCGAGUGCUUUGGGAUGAACCAGUCAACUGUCUCGCACAUAACCUGGCGUUUUGUGGAAGUAAUGGAAGAAAGAGGGCUGCACCAUCUUUCCUGGCCUAAAGAGCAGAGUGAAAUAGAGGAGGUAAAGUCCAAGUUUGAGAAAAUCCGCGGCCUUCCAAAUUGUUGCGGCGCAAUUGACAUCACGCACAUCAUGAUGACUCUGCCUACAACCGACUCAUCAGAUGAUAUCUGGCUCGAUGGUGAGAAAAACUGCAGCAUGAUCUUGCAGGCAAUCGUUGAUCCAGACAUGAGGUUUCGUAACAUAAUUACAGGAUGGCCAGGAAGUAUGAGCGAUGACAUUGUCCUCCGAAGCUCAGGUUUUUUCAAGAUGUCUGAAGAAGGAGAUUGUUUAAAUGGGGAGAAGUUGGUGCUCUCAGAAGGAACAGAAGUGAGAGAAUACAUAGUAGGAGAUUCGGGUUUUCCUCUCUUGCCAUGGCUUCUCACUCCUUACAAGGGAAGAGGGCUGUGGGAGCAUGAGUCUGAGUUCAACAAGCGGAUUUCUGCAACACAGAUGGUGGCGCAAAGGGCGUUGGUGAGGCUGAAAGAGAUGUGCAAGAUAAUUCAAGGCGUAAUGUGGAAGCCGGAUAAGAACAAGCUGCCGAGGAUUAUUCUUGUUUGCUGUAUACUGCAUAAUAUAGUGAUUGAUAUGGAGGAUGAGGUGCAAGAUGAAAUGCCAUCGUCCCGCCAUCAUGAACCUGGUUACCUGCAACAAAUUUGUGAAUCUGCUGCUGACGAUACGGCAUUUCACCUGAGAGAGAAGCUCUCUCUAUACUUUGCUGGAAAAUUGUCUCGAUGAGAAGACCCUUAUGUGCAUCAUGGAUGGUGGUUUCAUUGGUUUGUACAUUGACGAAAUGUUCGAUCUUUGCUAGUUGAAAUUGGAGAGUUUAGAAUGUUUGAGGAUGCUUUCUUCUAUUGAAACUAUAGUCUUAAGUCUUAACAUAGUUUUAAUUGAAAAUUUUGACUGCAUCUAAAUAUGGUUCUUUAGCAUUAUCUAUAUUUAAUUGACCGAAGAAUGAAUUUCCUUUGGUGCUUAGUCCAUAUCUGGUUUGAGAACUUUUUUUAGCGCGACUGUCACUAUCACAUUUGUGUUAUUAAUCUGUGUUAUAAUAUGUGCGGACAAACAAGAUUGACAUGUCACGAACUUAAGCUAUAAUAUUAAUAAAGUUUAUUCAUUUAUAACAUGGUGGACAAAUAAUAUUAUGCAAGCUUCUCGGUUACGUGGUUCAAGGCCUAAUGGAAAUGAAACAUCCCGGGACACUGCCAUGGUUCAAGGCCUAAUGGAAUUGAAACACCCCUGGACAAUGCCGUUUUGAUCGUUCAGCUUUUUAGUUCGGAAUUACACCAAACAUAUGACAAUGUUAGUCCAGCUUCUUAGUUGGGCUAUACACCAAACACAGUACAAUGUUCUGCUUAGACCAUGCCAUUCUUGACAUGGCAUUACAGCAAACACAGAACAAUGUCCUUCCGACUUACACCAAGCCAACACAAUCUAACAUUAUUCCCGCAAGUAGUCCAGUCCAAGACAGUACAUGCCCUAAUGGAGGUUAAUGGUCCUCGUUAGGUUUAAAAUUAACGAGUUUGAAACACUUUUGGGAGAGAAACUUAAGUUAAAGUGUCACAUGCUAGUCCGGCAAGUCACUGAGAAGUUAUCACAAGUUGAGCUAACCCACCCACUUUCCCCCACUUUUGGCUUUAGUCAGCAUUAUGUUGACUCUUUCUUAGACACAAUUAAAGACAUUUCAAAGUGUUGGCCAGGGCUUCCACACAAUGUGUAAAGUAUCUUCCCACCCACCCCACCCCCCCCCCCCCCCCCCCACACAAAAAAAAACCACCCCCCCCCCCCACACAAAAAAAACAAUAUGUAAAGUGUUUGGCAACAAAAAGAGGAAAAAAAGAACAGCAAGAUGCAAGCAGGACAAGAAGUGAUAUCCAUCCACAAGAGGUACCAAUAAUCCACCAAUUACAAGUCGAGUCAUCGACGAAGUACAAUACUAAACCAAAUUGACGAUCAUAGGGCUAUAAACAUGUCGCCGGAAAAACCAGAUCGUAUAGACGACCCCCCUGUUGGACAGCUGAUGCCUUACAUUCAAUUAGCGCGGCUUCUA
rnacentral:lncRNA from 1 species